rnacentral:lncRNA from 1 species
UCAUCACAUUUUUUGACCUUGUCACCCACACAGGCUUUAUAGACUUUUUUUCCAUUUAAAUGGAUGUGAAACAUGACCCGCAUCUAACAUGUCGCAAGAAGGGCAUGCAAUGUGUGUACAAUUGGCCAGAACUAUCAGUUUGUCAGUGAAUUCAGACUCUGCCAUGAAAGCCCAUUGUUAUGGAAACAGAUAUGGUAUCCACCUCUACAACACAGCAGUUAAUAUGUUGACCCCUUUUCCAGUCCCAUGUAUUCAUAUUUAUUAUAUACAGUAUUCAUAUAAAACUUCAUAAUAGAUAGACAUAAUUCUUGCUUUUUAAUAUAUAGACCAGCACAUGCUUCUCAUGACAUUUCCAAGCAAAGGCAAAGGGCUAAAAAAUAUUUAAGCAUACAUUUGGAGGUGUGCUACAUGAAACAAGUAAGUUUGUUACUUGGUCACCCUCAUAAAAAAAAACCACAUUACUCAUGCUGCUGAUCGUGCUGAUCCUCUUUUUUCAAAUGCCUUUCUAUGUAGUGGUUUUACCCUACCUGACUGAGUCUUGCAGUGCCUGCUACCUUCACAGGCGUAACUAGUAUAAGCUGAUAGGGCACUGUUUUUUCCACACUGAAGGUCGGUCACUGGCACUACAGGCUGGAUAUGUGAGAGGAUUUUGUUUUUGUCACAGAGGAAAGGGUGAGUGGGAAGCCAAUUGCCCACUAACAUAUUUCCUUUCAUUUUUGGCUACAUCCCCUUUUUGCACCAUUUUUUAAUUAACUGGAUACUACAGUGUUAGGAAUACAAAGCUGUAUUCCUGGCACGAUCACUUCUUCUGUCUCCCCCUUCCCUCACAUCCUCCCCCCCCCCUCAGUAAAUGCUUAAAACAAAGGGUUACUUAUCCCAGCGCCAAUGUCCUUUGGUGCUGGGUCAAUGCUCUGCCCCCUCCAACGUCACAUGACUAGUGGGCGCUAAUGCACAUGCGCGGCAAACGCAUCUGAUGCUGGAUGUCUUCAUGCACAGUGUGAGGACGUUUAGCAUCAGUUGCCGGACCAAAAGUCUGUUUAGAUGCAGGAAGCGCCUUCAGAAUCUGCCUGUUUUUUAGCUGAAGUGGUCUGGGUGCCUAUAGUGUCCCUUUAAUACAAAAUAGAAAAAGGAAAAACAUUACAUUCAAUCAUUAUAAAAGUUUUCUUUUUUCAUUAAAUACAGAUGUGUAACAAACUUUUGGCAACACAGAAUUGGCAUUAAAAAAUGACUGUUAUAAUUGUGUCCUUCUUAGUCUUCACUUCAUCCUUCACUGAUAUGCCACCCUUGAUACAAGGGUGGAUUACACAGCCCCAGUAGCAAUUUGAGAUUAUAACCUACAGUUGAAGAACACAGGUCACAAAAUGAGAUAUAUCAUACCUGUAAAGGGAACACUUGAGAUAUAUGACUCCUUCAGUGCACCAAGCCUCUUAAUCCAUUAGUCCAGCCUGUGUCUAACAGGCUGCUGGGAGGUGCUCUGCACCCCGAUCUCUAUAUAACACCUUUAUUUGUUUUAACCUGUGGCUAGUUACCACUACAAUAUAGUGGGUUCCUAACCUCUGGGACACUGACGGUACCUAUUGGGACAUUGUGGGCCAUGUGGUCCAAGUGGGGAGAUGGAAAUAUCUCCCAUCAAUGUAUUGCACUGGAGCAGUGAACCAUAGUCCUUCAGUUUUCUAUAUUUGUAUCUUAUAUUCAGUUUUAUUAUUUAGGCAUGUAAAAUUAUAUAUGUUAUGGUUUAUAUUUUACCUGCCUCAUCCACUCGUGUGCUGGUUGAUUAGCAUUGGUAACAUAACAAUACAUUUUAAUACCAUUUUUAAUAAUCAUUUUAUAUUUUGAGAGUAACUUCCUUUUAUGUUGCUUGUUUACAUUUUGUUUGGAGUUUUCUUGCCAAAUGUUCCCCAUGAUUCAUUGCAUUCAAAAUGUAGAUAGUUACAUAUGUGUGAGUUCUAGUAAGACUAGUACCAGGUGCAAACUGGUGAAUUUAAGUGGCUGUUUUGUGAAACAAGAUUUGUUUCCAUGCCAACUUUCAGAUGUAAGGUAGAAUUAGGAACAUUAUAUAUGAAGGGGCUGGAGACAUAGCUCAUAACUAUCAAUCCUCUAAUUAGCAGCUACUCUAGGGCUUGGCUUCCUGAUCUUCAUAAGUAUAAAAAGUAAUAUAACACUGGGGUGGUAUUUGACUAGAUGUGUAAUCACUAAGGCUAUUGAGCCAUGACAGGCCCAAUAGCCAUUACUCUCUAUUGUAGAAUGACAAGGAAAUUAAAAUAUAUUCUGGAUAUUUUCAGUUAGAUGUUUCGGUUAGAUGUAAGCUAGAGCUUCCCAGCUAGAAUGGAAGAUCACCUCAAGCAAAAGAGGUCAACUAAUUCCUUUCUUAUUCUUUUUUGAGUGUCAACCUUUCUGAUCACAUAGGAUGAAUAUAGCAAUCUAGUGCAGACCAAUGCAUCACUAGUGUUUUAAUCGAUGGAUCUCCUCAUGUGGAACGUGUUUCCAUAGGGAUAAACCUUAAUCUUUAGAAGUUGAUCAUAUUUGUAGGUUUUUCUUGCAGAAAAUACAAUCAAACAUUCCUAGUUUGACUGGUGUUUGUAUUAUAAAGUGUUGCAAAAAGCAUAUAGUAUAUAUUGCUUGCAUAUAUCAACUGGUUAGCAGUGGUAAUUACUGUUUUAAAACUGGGUAACCCAGGUUCAAAUCUUGGCCAGAGAACCUUGCCAGUAAGUAUCUCUGGGCAAAUAACUUUAUCUUUGCCUAUCAGAACCAUCCUCAUAGAUUGUAAACUGGUUUGAGUAUUGCCUUCUUUUCUAUAAUUGUAAAUGCUGAGGAAUAUAUGAUGGCACUAUAUAAAUAGUAAUAAUAGAACCAUCACACUAUUUUAUAUACUUAAACUCCAAAUUGAAAUUGCCUUCUUUUCAGUAAAAUAUUCACUCUUAGAUAUAUAUAUAUAUAUAUAUAUAUAUAUAUAUAUAUAUAUAUAUAUAUAUUUGUGUUCGGGGCAUUCUCAUAUGAUAUGGAAUACUCUGGCGGAGAGUAAUACAAUAAAAGGAAAAAGUCCGUUGAGGUGUGCCGAAAACCGACGUAUGCUGUAGGCCGGUAAAUAAAGUGGGCCCACAUAGAGGAAAGUAUAGCUAAUGGGAGUGGAGGGUGGGGCUGUUCGUCUGGACCAACGAAGGUAAGUGAGGGAAGGGGGGAGUCCCUUUAAGUAGGUCUAUUGCCCCUCCCACAAAUUCAGGCCCUGCCUUCCAACUUGUGUUCGGGGCAUUCUCAUAUGAUAUGGAAUACUCUGGCGGAGAGUAAUACAAUAAAAGGAAAAAGUCGGUUGAGGUGUGCCGAAAACCGACGUAUGCUGUAGGCCGGUAAAUAAAGUGGGCAAAAAGAGAAAGCAAGAUAAACAUUUAUUCGGUAAACAUAAAUACAAAGAAAAAUACAAAUACAUUAUUAAGUAGACAUAUUAAUGAAAGCCCUCCUAAGCUCUUGGGCUGGGUGCGGAAUGUAGGUAGCGUAAGCUGAGGACUUCCAUCGACCCAGUGUUUUAAUGACAUGCACGGGAACAUUUUGGCUAGAGGCUGUGGAGGCCGCUCCAAUUCUGAAGGAGUGCCCCGAGUAGCUACUAGGGUUCAGACCAAGCCUGGUGAUAAGCAUUCGAACGUAAAGCAUGAAUUUCGACGUGGUGAGAAUGGUAUCGUGCAGCAUUAGUAGAGGCCUUGUGGGCUGUGUUUGUUUCGUGGUUAAAAAAACGUCUAGUGCUUUUACUGGGCACCAAUUGUUACCCGUGGGGUAGUAGUUAAUGUGAACUGGUUCCCCCAUCUGACUUGUCUUAGUCUUAGGUAGAGACAGGACGUAGUAGUCUGUGUGUUUCGUGAGAUGUGACGUGAGGAGGCACCCUUGGUUAUGCAAUUGGCCACUAACUGUGAAUUCUCGUGGUCUAAGAAACCCGUAAAAGGCCAGAUACAUGGCGGCUUUAAUAACCGCGUUUGUAUUGGGUUCAAAAGGUGCUUGGUCGAGUAGAUUGGACAGGGAUUUGAACAUUCCUAUGUCAAUAGCCAAUCUUUUGGGCGUAGCUGGACCGUCUGCCUUUGCUAUACCCUUCAGUAGCGUGUGGAUGGGGUAUGAGGUUAAGAACCCUUUGUGGUUAGGGAAUGAGUAGUACAUGUGGUGUUGUAUCCCCGUGAGAUAAAGCUUAAUGGUGUUAUGUGUGAAUUUUAACUUAAGGUGGCAAAAGGAUGCAAAAGCCAUUAGUGAUGAUACUUCGAACCAGUUGGUUAGGUGAUGGUCAGUAAUGAAUCGUUUAUAUAGGUGAAAAGCUCUGUUAUAUGAGUGUUGAGUGCUAGUGGACAAAGCUACUUUUGUGAGAGUGAGGCUGUGAUGAAGUAGUUCAUCUAUUCCAUGACAAGGUCUUGGAAGGUUGGCGCUGGGGUUGCCAUACGAGCUGCCGAGGGUAGGGACCAUCUGAAAGCCUGAAAUUGAAAGCGAGAUAGCUGGUCAGCUGCCGUAUUGUAUAUGCCGGGAACAUGGGAGCAUACAAUGUGGAAGUGAUGGGUGGCUGCCAGCCAAGUCAGUUUCCUAAUGAAAUUCAUAAUUAUCAAGGAGGAAGAGCGGCCUUUGUUGAUAAUGUGGCAUAUUGCCAUGUUAUCAGAGAAACAGCGUACUGACUGACCUUCCCACAACCUACACCAAGUGACAGCUGCGGCAACUAUUGGGUAUACCUCAAAAAGGGCAGAGUUAGUGUGAAACCCCUCGAUGCCCUGUGUUUCUGUUGGCCACGUCCCCCAGAGCCAAUUUGUGCCAAAAAUGGCCGCAUAUCCCGCAGCUGAUGCUGCAUCUGUCCAAAUGACGGGUGACUGAGAAUCCAGCUGUGGAAGGAACAUGCUCCUACCAUUCCAGUCAGAGAGGAAUCUGUACCACAUCUGAAGGUCGGCAGUCGCAGGGCCGUUCAAAGAUAUGCGGGCAUAGUCGUUGGUGAAGGUGGGGAACAGGGCGAGGAGCCUGGAAAUGAAAGCCCUGCCCUGGGGGAUUAUGCGCAUGGCGAAAUUUAGUGAACCCAACAGAGAUUGUAGUUCUUUACGGUUGCAUGAGCCCCUGUGCAUGUAGUGGUUAAUGUCGUGUAGAAUGUUAUCAAUCUUAGUUCUAUGGAGGCUGGCCAUCAUAGUUGCUGAAUCGAGCAGAAUACCUAGGAAGUUGAUGACUGUGUCUGGACCUUCUGUCUUGGUGGGUGAUACGGGGACGCCGAGUGCAGUGAAUAGUUUGACAGCUUUGUGUAGGCUACACGGGGGGUUGGUGUUGGCUUCGAUGAACAGAAAAUCAUCCAGAUAGUGUAUCACAUUUUGGCACCUACUGGUAUUAAGGAGGAGCCAACACAAAGCCUCAGCGAACGUGUCAAAGAUCCUUGGACUACUCUUGGCUCCAAAAGUGAGUUUUGUAAAAAAGUAGUAGGCUUCUUGCCACUUAACUCCGUGUAGGUGCCAUAACGAGGGGUGUAUAGGUAACAGUUUAAAAGCAUUGACUAUAUCCGUCUUGCUGAGCCAGGCCCCCACCCCCACUGACCUGAUAGCUGCAAUAGCGUGGUCAAUAGUGGAGUACUGUAAGGAAAAUUCUUCCGAAGGAAUCAAUGAGUUUAGGCUGGGGAUGGCUGAAGAGUGGGGAGCGGAUAGGUCAAUGAUGAGCCUUUGUUUAUCUGAAUUUUUACUUGCGACCAGCCCGAUAGGGUUAGUUCUCCACCUGGAAAAGGGGGGAUUACCAAAAGGACCGAUGACAAAUCCCUGGUCCACUUCCAGUUGUAGCAAGUUAGUGACUGCGGUAGGGUUAUUAGCGGCUGACUGCAAAUUGUGACAUUCUAACACCCCUGUUGGCAUGUAAAUGAGCCCCGUGUGAAACCCGUGGGUGAGACCUGUGCAUAAAAUUCCACCAGGUGUUUAGAGGGGUGAGUGGACAGCAUGUGUUCAAGUACAGGAACGUUCACUGGAGACAAAUAAGGUUUCUGGAACAUUUUAUUUGUGCACAUGGAUCUCGCAUGUGCCCGAAAACAGUGUGAGCAUACAUGUAAUAAGCGGCAAGCGCUGUAACCACAGGAGCCUUCAUUGAAGUUAUUGCAAAUUUGUGACUUGCCUAGGUACACAACCGGACGACCCAAUUUGUCUCUGGUCUGUUUCUCAGCUUUAAGGGGGUGCUGUAGGGACGUGCUGGGAGCGCUGUCCGGGCAGAGGGGGCACAAAUAAGCUGUGUGAGCGGGUGACGUACAUAUGGCACAAGCUGGUGUCCUGAGCCCCGCAAAGUGUCUGAGGAACAAUUCAUUGUCCAGUUGGCUCCAAUCCAUCUGGAUGCCAUACUGGGACAAUGUGGCUGACACUUUAGAUGAAAAAGACUUGUGAUAGUCAUAAAAAGUGUAACCACCAUAUUUGUUACCCAGGUCCACCAGUUUAUGCAUAUAUAAGUCCAGUUCCUCUCUCCUGUGUGGAUAAACUGAGCACAGGAUGUCCCUAUAGAUACCAAAAGACAGGACAAAAUCGGGAAUGGUCAAUUUCUUACUGAGUCUGGGGUCUCUGGCUUUUAAAACAACAGAGAUGUCCCCGUAGUCGUAAGAGCGGUUUUCCACUACAUCCUGGGAGGCAAUGAGCAAAGAGACCAAGUUUACGUCCUUGCCCUCCAGGAUGUCUUUUUUAAGAUUGGCCGGAACCAUGUGGGCAGGGUUAAUAACAUGUGCCGCUGUCUUGUUAGGUAUAGGAUUACCCGCUGUUGCUGUGGAUAUGACCGGGGCUGUUCCAGCGAGAGGCACAGGUGGCUCUAUGGCGGAGCUGCGUGCCUCCAGCCUUUCCAGUCUGUCGUUGACCUUUCUCAUAGAAGAGAUUAGGGAGGCAACCAUAGCAUGGAGAGUCGGGUCUUGGGAGUUACUAGUGCCUUCCCCCGCGUCUGUCAUAAGGGUGUUUGUUUUAAGCAGUUUAAACAGUUCUGCUUUCCUGGCCGUGGCUGGGAAAGGGAUACUGCGUUUGCGUAAUUCCGCCGUGAUGCGAGGGAUAGUCCACGAUCUGAUGGACGAGGGACUUCCUAUGUCGUCCUUACGUGUCGGGGUAAGUGACCUAGCCGGGGUGCUAGGGACUGACAUGUCGUCGCCAUCGUCUGGGAGCAGGGACAUACUGAAAGUAAUAACAGGCAUAGUUGGAGGCUCGUUGGAAUAGCCGGUAGCUAGUUAGUGCCAGAUGGCGAAAAACUUAACUCUAGGUUUUGUGGCAGGUGAGGCCCUACUAGUGCCAAGUGGCUAGAGAGGCUCUAUCUAUGAGUUGGCGCGAGGGGUAUGGUAGCCUGCCCAGUGAAACGGGAUGUUUGCCUCUCCAAGGGUAAGUAUGGAUGAAGAAAGGGGGGGGGAUUUGGUAGUGACAGGUGUCGCCCUCUCUGUAUAAUUGCGAGGCGGCUAACUAUGAUUUGGCCCGAGGGGCGUAAAGUACCUCGAAGUGGAGGAUGGGAGUUGGCCUCGCGGACCUCUAUGAUUAAGGGGCAGGGAAUUAACUAACGUGGCGUUUGUAGAAAAAGAAGCGUGUAACCGACGUACCUGCAGAAAAUUGAGCACUGGUUCUGUGUAAGAGAAUUCAGGUGUCUCUUGAGUAGGGGGGGGGGUUAGCUUAGGUGAACCGUCCGAGGUAUGCGGAUUCCUGGGGGUAUGAGAAUUUAAGAUAAUGAAACUCUUAUGUGGAACAUAUAUAAUUGGCAUAGUUCUGGGGGGGGUUGCCGCGCAUUACCAUCCCCCCCCACCAAUGUAUAUGAUGUUUGUUAAGAUUUAACGUUACCAAUACUUGCAGAACAUUCUUAACAUAUGUUAACCAGCAAUAAGUAAACAUAUAUGCACGUAUCACAUUUUAACAAGCAAGUCAUACAUUAUAUAUAUAAAAAAAAAAAAAAAAAAUUGUGUGAGGUUAAUUCAACCAGCAUCUUAUUUAGCAGUAUAAGUGUAAAACACAGAUGUUUAUGUAUAACAGUACUUAAAAAUAAUUGCUAUUAAUUAGACAUAUAGAUAACCAUUGUAAACAUAAUGACCAAAGGGUAUAUGCAUAAUGAAUGGUGGAGGCUGGUUGAACUAAGGGUCAACCAGCAGCAAAGAAUGACCCCCUUUAAGCCAGGUGCAUCCCCCCCCCCUCCUUCCCAAGUGUGUAGUCGGUGGGAAACAGGGUCCCCUAACAUUAUGGGGGUCUGGUUGUGGCCUGUGAGAGCCAUACCACUUCCCCCUUCCACCCCCCCCUCCCCUUCCCUUCGAAUGAGAUUCCUCCCCGGUGGCCGAAAAACAGAGACUCCUAGGUAGUAAUGGAGUCUCUGUUCUGUGUGUGUGGGAGCUCCUCUUACCGCCCGGACCAGUGGUAGGCGAGGAGGGUAGCCGAGACCUCCGUUCGGGAGCCGGUGGAGCCGCCGGAAGUUGGCGCGUGACGUCAGAAGAGGGCGCCGCGUCUCGCCGGAAAUGACGAUUUCGACCCGGAAGUCGGGAGCGACGGAGGCCUGCGAGACAAAGCUGUUCGUCUGGACCAACGAAGGUAAGUGAGGGAAGGGGGGAGUCCCUUUUAAGUAGGUCUAUUGCUCCUCCCACAAAUUCAGGCCCUGCCUUCCAACAUAUAUAUAUAUAUAUAUUAUAUUUUUUUUUUUAUUAAUUUAUUUUAUAUAUCAGUACAAAAAGUUGGUAUAAAAACAUACAUUAAACAUUCAACUUAUUUAGAGUAUAGAUAUUCUUUUAAAAAGCUCUGAAUAUGAAGAUAGUUAAAGAUCUCGCGGUGGGGGAGGCCCAAUUUUUUUUUUUUUUUUUUUUUUGUUCUCCGAAGGGACUAAUCUGGGUACCAUUAUACAGCUUCCCUAUAGUAUAGUCUCCUUUUUCAGACCAGUUUUUAAGAUCAAUAACAGACAUAAUUAGUUCUAGGGUAAUUUACUGUUUCUUUUCUGAUAUGAUUUUAAUAGAGUAGAUUAUUACUAUUAUCUUUAUUACAUUCACUAAGUGGAUUUAUUUUAGUAUAUCAAGUUAUUCUGACAAUGUCCUUUAUGCCUCUGAUUAUUUAUCUUAUGCCGGUCGACGGAGCUGGUGAAGUGGAACGCACGUGCAUUCCAAACGCAGACUGAUGACGUCCUCUUGGGCCGACGACAGGUGGAACGCAUAUGCGUUCAACGAAGACCUAGCGGAAGUCCAUAUUUUGACAUGAAUAAACGAAUGAUCAAGGACAGGUGAUUCCAGCGCCACGGAUUGGCGGAAUAGAUCGGAAAUACGACGAGAGGGCCAUUUAAAAGGAAUUGUGGACAUUGAACACAUUGUAAUAUCUGAUUCAUUGUUGUUAUAUUUGAUUUUUUGAUUUUAUGAUUUGUUUGCUCCUGAGGAAGUCUGCAUUGUAAGUAGACGAAACACGUUGAGCUGUUUUAUUGUUGCCUGUAAUUCCUGUUUUCUACCUCACCUUUAUACCAUAUGGGACAGAGGGAUACAGAGAUCUAUUGAUGGGCAUUUUUAUUUUUUACUUCUUGUAAGUGAAUUCAAUUAAAGUGUGUCAUUUUACAUUUUAAAGCAUUGCUGUACUAUGUUCAGUUUUUUUCUUUUGGCAUGCAUCCUUGGAUAUUGAGAAUGUCUACAGACGAAUAUUUAAAGAGACAUUGAUGGGCUUGAAAAACCCGUACAUCUUGUGAGUGCAUUACUAUCAUUAGGGGCCCAUUUCUUGUUUUUCUUUGCCUCUGUUUUCAUUUUAGGUGUGUCUUGUAUUUUAUAAAUCCUACAUCUAACUUAGAUAAAGCCCACACAGAGGAAGGAACAUCAGACAAAUCAAUAGUUUCAGAACACAACAUAGACACAUCAAUACCACCAGAGGGCAUGCAAGUAAUGGUAGCUCCCAGAAUACCAAGAAGAUCCCUUCCUAGGAAACUAACAGGACAUUUAGGUAUUAAACCAAAAGGGUGCACAGUAGAAGAACCAUUAAGAGGACAGAAAACAGACAGUGGUGGUGUGACAAAAGUGGGUGUUGACACUCCAUUAAUACCCAAUGAAGGUUGUAGACUUUUCCCUUGUCCCCUGAUAAUAGGUGUCACAGAGACUGGAACACGUAGCUCCAGUAUCUACCAAAAAUGACAAGGAUCUACCUUCUAUGACCAGAAUGCAAAAAGGCUGAUCAUCAUUAGUAGAGGACAAAAGUGGAAAAGUUGGAGUGUCACCUUCAAGGCAACCCUAUUGGGGCCAUGGGAUGUGAUGGGUGUGCUGGUCAGUGGUACCUGUGAAUGGCCCUAGUGCAGUUUGGGUUUGCUGGAGUGAGGGGGGAGGGGGAAGUGCUGGCCAGUGGUGUUGGGAGGGGGAAGUGCUGGCCAGUGGUGUUGUUCUUGCCUACCGGGCGUAUUUUGACAAUUGUGGGGUUGUUGGGGCGGCUGGGGUUUCCUGGGGUGUGGACACUCAUUCCUCCAGUGGCCAUGCUGGCCACAGUUGAAACAAGUGUUCCUGUCUGUUGCUCCUUGGUUACCCCUGUUCCCUGUCUCAAUCCCCUUGCCCCUCUUUGACCACCCUUUCCACGGGCUCUAUGUGCUCCAUCCCAUCCUCUUUCUCGGGCCUGUGUAGGUGGACAGUGUUGCAAUCCCUGAGCAUAAUAAGCAACCUUACUUCCUGAAUCUUUUCUUAAGUCAAAACAACCUUCUCUAUAACCUUGGUAAGAAAAUCUGAGCCACCCAAAUUGGCCCAGUCUGAAAUCAACUGUUUCACAAGCAAAGAAUACUGUGGCAACAUAUUACCAAGGCAUGACUGUAUUUUAAGGAGAUCCAUAUCAUCUCCAGACUUCAAACCUGCCUCAUCCUUCCAACACUUGUAAAAUCUCUUUACAAAAAUACAAAUCUCUUCCUUUGCACCUUGCUUACAUGCCAAAGCAGUGGAUAUAGACUGCUUAUUCUUCCAUAAUCUCAACAUUUCAGCUUCCACAUGUCCCACAUGACACCUCGUCCCACAUCCUGCUGAUGUACUAAGCUCAUAAACUCCAUCACUACCAGCCUCUCCAACUCCAGUACCGUUGUCUGUCUCACUGAUAGAGGGUACCCUAAACCAAUCCCAAACAGAAUCUGAGUUAUACCCUAAUAUUCCAUUUAUAAUUAACUGUAUGUCUAUCUGUGUCAUGUUCGGUCCUAAGCAUAUUCUUUUCAGAUACAUUAGGCAUGCAGAGGGAUUAGUACGGGGGUUUGGGGCACCUUGAAUAAUGUCUUUGAGUACUCCGGGAUUAAUGGGUUUCAUUAUUAACUGAUUACCAACAGUCAUGAACGGGGCAGUAAAAUCCGCACCUUCUAAUUCUGGCAUCUCUACAUCAUCAUCACCUUGCUUAUGUACGUAUGAUUUUAACACCUUGCCACUUUUAAGUUUAACUCACAUUUGUACUGUUAAUUUAAUCGACUGGGAGGUGGCGGUGGAUAUUCUAUAUCAGAAUCUGGUGUAGAUGAUGAUUCCUGUAAUUGCUGUGAUUGUGAAUUAACAGCUUCAGCAAUACAAAUAUCUUCUAUAUCAUCCUCUAAGGGGGCAUUAGGUACAGCAGGAUGCAUUGCUUUAUAGGGAGGUGGGGGUUGUGGUUGGGUAUGGUAGGGGGCACAAUUGGUGGUGGAUAUGGAUUCUCAGGAGGGGCUUCUAUGGGAAAGUGGAUGGUAUUACUGUCAACAGUUGUCUUUCUUAGUUCCCUUUAAAACCUUUCCUGUUACACUACAAUGAGGGGCUAUCUGCAACCAAUUUUCACCUCCUGCUUUCAUAUAUUCCUUAUCCCAGUCUGGAUCAGGACCAUACCACGGCCAUGACUUCCUAUCUCCCAAACACAAUCCUCGAAUCAUAUUCAUAUGGAAAUAAUCAUUAGCCCCACACCUGGGAAAAGGAUCAGAUGACUUCAUAGUCUCUGUCCAUCCUGCUAAAUUUGACUCAAAGGGGAUUGUAAGAAAUCCUCCUUGUGCUCCUAUUCUAGUAACAUAAUUUAGACAUGACUCCCCUGGGUGGGGUAAGAAAUAGACUGAUUAUUUCUGGCUCAGGGUAGAGACACUACCUACUUACCAAUAGUGUGUCUCUACUUAACAAGCAAAAUAAACACAAAGCAGACACAGGGUGACCAGAGGAACGAGAAGUUUGGGUUAUUCUAGAUCUAUAAACCGUGUUUCCUAGAACACCUAUAGUCUUAAUAAACCGGAGACUCCUUUAUAGUCUCAAAACCUGUAUGUACCUGAGAUACCCUGUAUGUAUCUAUCUUAGAUACUAACCUGGGUUACCAAGAACACUGUACUAGACCAACUGUCCAGUAAAAACUGGAGACCUUUUUACAGUCUCAAUAUAACUAAAGUCCUUACACCUUUCCUAUCUACUGGAUACAGACUUACUGAACCAAAGGGGGUCAUAGACAAUCAGCAUCAGUAAGACACAAAAAGGCUACUUACCCAAUACUUACCAAAUGGCUUUGCUGAUUCCACUUCUGACACCAAGCUGAAAGGGUUAAUGCUGUUCUAGACUCAACUCCCCUCGAUUCUCGAUUCUCCGGUCACCACAUCAAGUGACGGGCAAGUGUUUAGCAAAUUAAGACACAGACACGAAAGAGUGCUUAACAAGUUCUCAGUGAGUAUAUUUUCAGGGCUAGCAUUUAUACACAGUUUGUCACGCAAGCAGCGAGAUUUAUUGUUUCCUUGUAGUUAAUAGUACAUACUUGUCUGACAUUAAAAGAUAAGCAUUUGAAUAAAGACGGGACAGGAACAUCCUGAGGUCGAGCGAGGUCAUACAUCCUGUAGAAGGGAGGCCUCUCAAAGCAUGUUAUAGAAUACAUCUGCCAAGGUCAGCAUAAUUAUUUCAAACAUUAUUUUUUCAAUAUAAUUUUUAUUGAUUUUCAGCGGUCAAUGGGUUUACAUCAUUGACAAGAGAAGUAUACUUCAACAUAUAGAAUACAAGAAAACAUACAGAAGUGAGUAGUAAUGGUACAGUAAGGUAGUAGUACAGUAAAACAGUAGUGAGCCACAAACAUGCACAACAUUAGCUUCUGGCAUUGUACAGCAUAUUCGUUUUGGGAACAUAGUAUUUGUUACAUUAAAGCUUGUCAUGCCAACUUUGCCUCACUGUAGUCGUACAUCAAUCAUCAGACAAUGUAUAAACCACAAGAACUAAUAACCAGCGUCCGUUGUCGGACACCUCUCCCUGUCUAUCUACUCCUAUCGCUUGGGGUGUAGUGGCCAGUGAAGGGGGGCUCAGCGUGUUGUGGCAUGUAUCCUCCCUGUGCUCCGGUAGUGGGUUUCUGGGAUUACCUAUCGACAUGCGCAGUUUCGGUGUUGGAGUUGUUCAAUUUCGCCUGUUGGCAUAGUUAUAUGGUCUCCUUGGGGCGAUCUUGGCUAGGUUGGUCAUGUCUCCGGGUUAUCCCUUUUUGGGCGUGGUCAGUGUGACCCAUGGGGCCCAGGUCGCUUGGAAUGUUCGCGCUGUGUUGUCAUCAGUUAUGGCCAUGCGUUCAAAAAUGUAAAAUUGUUGUAUUUUGUCUCUUAGCUGGGCUUUUGUUGGGCACAGUGUAGAUUUCCAGUUCAAGGCCAAUAGGUUACGGGCUGCAAGGGUGGUGAGUGCGCUCAGUUGUUUUUGUGAUUUGUCAAAUAGUGGCGGAAACCGCAGAAGUAGGUACACCUCUGGGGUUUUUGGGGUGUUGGGCACGUGAAGGAUACGAAGUGUACGAUGCACCUCUGUCCAGAGAGGUUGUAUGUUAGGGCAGUUCCACCAUAUAUGUAUGAGUGUACCCUCAGCAGCCUUGCAUCUCCAGCAUAACGAAGAUGUGUUUGGGUAGAUUUUGUGAAGCCUACUUGGGGUUAGGUACCAUCUAUAUAAUAGUUUCCUAUGGGCUUCGAUGUGUGUGUGUAGCAACGUGUCCAUUUGGAUAAGUCAUUGAGUGCAUCAAACAUUAUUUUAAAGCAUAUAAAGCAAAAAGAGUUAACUAUUUCAUAUCCUUACACUAAGGGGUGGACGCCAGGGGGUGGACAAUAGGUCCCCCUCAUUGUUUUUAUGGCCCCCACCCGCCACUCAGGGGUGUGGGUUGGGGGGGCCAUAGGUUCCCCCCUUGUUGUUAUUUAUGGCCCCCACCCACUGCUCACUGUUUAGUAGACAUGCCCCUACUCGCGGCAUAGCGAGUACGGGCAUGCAGGAGAUUUUAAUCUCCAUUAUGCUUUUAUGAAGGUCAUAUUGACCCCCAUAGAGUGAAGGAGGACAUGGGGGGGCUUAGGAAGUGGCAAGGGAGCACUGCUCCCUGUCGCUUCUAUUUUUACAUAUUACAAGGAGGGAGCUGCGAGCCGGUAGCUCCCUCCUUAUAAUAAACUGAACGUACAAACAAACGAACACCGAUAUUUAGUGUUUGUUUGUUCAUCUGACAUUUCUAUUCAUUCAUUCGUCUUUCUGAUGAAUGAAUAGAUGAAAUUCCCGUUCGCAUGCCCAAGUGUUUAACUGGGCAUGUGCGGGAAUUUCACAGCUCUAUCAGGUGUGGGCAGAUGACGUGUCCCACAGAGACUUCAUCUACCCACACAAAGAUGGCGGCGCCCAGAACCUAGGUCCGGGCACAAUAUAAAGUUUAAAAACUAGGUAAGACAGGGGGCUUAGGGGAAUUUGGGGGUGACUAGGGAGUCAAUUAGAUGUAGUGGAGUCGGGACGCGUUAAAAAAAAAAAUGGGAUUCGGCCAUGACAGUGCCGCUUUAAGAUAAAAUUCUCAGUUGGACACAGAUCUCCUUGAAUACCUUGCAGCAUCAUUAUGGGUAUUAAUGAGAUUUUAAUCAAUACCCUGUUGCAGAAUUUCAAAUGUUUUAUUAAUCCUCGCUCCAUUUAUGAAGCCAUUGCCUCUUUAAAUAAAAAUUGCAAAAGGUUUUGAAAAUGUGUGUCAUGCAGAUAUAUAUAAUAUGUGUCCAAAUCGCCCAUGCAUCCAUUAACCUGCAGCACUAAAAUAUAUUUGGUUAAUUAUGUAAAAAUAUGUUCAAAGCUAUUUUGCUCCAAAGAAAAGCAUUCAACUCCAUCACUUUAAAUUUAGCAUCAUGUCAUUUCACUUUGUGGUUUUCAACAGCUGUUUUAAGAUUAGAUUAUUUAAAGAUGACAAUAGUGAAAAUGCCAAAAUAAAAUAGACACAUAAAUAACUGACACCCAUAGAGAAAUAACAACUAAAAGCUCAUUUCCACAAAGAGUACUUUUAUAGCAUUAAAUGUACCCAUGGGAUAUUAUCAAUUUCAACCCCAUUUAAGUAUAAUUGCCAUAGAUUUAAAAAAACAAACAAGCAUUAAUCUGAAUUUCUUAUAAACAAAUUAUUCACUUUUGGGCAAUGCAGCAUAAAAUUUAUUUGGUUUUGGAUUCUGUAAUUAGAGGGCACAUUUAGGUGAUCUGUUACGAAGUAAUGUUUAUUUCUCCUUAAAGGACCACUCUAGGCACCCAGACCACUUCAGCUUAAUGAAGUGGUCUGGGUGCCAGGUCCAGCUAUGGUUAACCCAUUUUUUCAUAAACAUAGCAGUUUCAGAGAAACUGCUAUGUUUCUGAAUGGGUUAAGCCUUCCCUUAUUUCCUCUAGCGGCUGUCUCAUUGACAGCUGCUAGAGGUGCUUGCGUGCUUCUCACUGUGAUUUUCACAGUGAGAGCACGCCAGCGUCCAUAGGAAAGCAUUGAGAAUGCGACCGGCUGAAUGCGCGCGCGCAGCUCUUGCCGUGCGUGCGCAUUCAGCCGACGGAGAGGAGGAGGAUCAGAAGAGGAGAGCUCCCCGCCCAGCGCUGGAAAAAGGUAAGUUUUAACCCCUUUCCAGAGCCGGACGAGAGGGGGUCCCUGAGGGUGAGGGCACCCUCAGGGCACUAUAGUGCCAGGAAAACGAGUAUGUUUAAUCAUUAACCCCUGAGGACAUUAAGACAUUCCAUGCCGUUCUACACAGAGGUAAUGUGAACGCCAUUAGGACGGUAUGGAAUGUUACCAUUUUGGCGUGAGCAGGGUUAAAUCCCUGCACACAACAGAGAAACCCAGGUAUCAAUAGGUAUCCCUUUUGUCACCUGGGGCCAUAUUCAGUGGCCAUAAACUGACAAAUGAGCUGUAUGCAGUGCUCAAAGUAUGCAGUGCCCCUGUUCAUCCAACUCAGAAACUAGAUGGGUGCCUUCAUGAAAAACAGAGAAUUAAUUCCUGGUGGCACACUCCACACCGAUGUAGCAGCAGUGGUAAAGAAGCUGAAAGAUCUACUCCAUGCUUAACCCCUUAAGGACACAUGACAUUUGCUUAACCCCUUAAGGACCAAACUGGAAUAAAAGGGAAUCCCCUUUUAUUCCAGUUUGGUCCUUAAGGGGUUAAGCAAAUUUCCAAUUGCACUAAAUUGAUGUAUGAGCCUAGGAUUGGGGGAAGGAUUGACAUACUGUAGGGAAAGACUUAAUACACAGUCUGUGAUUUGCAGAAAAAGAGAGGCAUACUGGUUGAGGGAGAUUUGAACAUUGCACAUGCUGUCAUCGUCUAUAACUCACAGCAGCAUAACCCCAACUCAGCAUGCUUGGGUGGAGGAUGUUGACAAUUUGGGUGGAGAAACUGAGAACAAGAAGCCAAGAGGAGAAUACUAAUGCCUCUGCAAUGGUCCGAGCUUGUGUGAAUAGGCUUUUUCUCCGAGUGAACUACUGCCCACUGACUUUUUCCUUUCAUUUUUGGUAAAAUUCCCCUUUUUUGACUUAAAAUGACUCCUGCUCCCUAUUUUUCAUUUAUCCAAGAUAGCAAAGGAAAAUUAUUACAAUCUUUAUAAAUUCUCUUAUUUUUUUAAAUUCAGUUGUAUAGUAAUCUAAGUGUGGCAACUUAACUGCUUUUGUAAAAAUGCUUGAUAUUGCAUAGCCAUUAGACCAGACAAUAUUGGAGCACUGGAAUAGGCUUAUAGGCGCAUUUGUUCCUGUUAUUUUGGCUGCCCGAAAUUCUUUUGGUAGCGAAAUGCUGAUGAGCCAAACCCUCCAGAAUUUUCUUUUCUUUUCAGACAAAUGGUUUGACCGAAAUUAUUUUUUCAUCUGUGCUCAAGAAAAAUUUAUUUGGGAUAUUUUAGGAUACUAAAAGAAGGACCCUUUUGGUCCUUUAACCCGUUAAGGACCAAACUUCUGGAAUAAAAGGGAAUCAUGACAUGUCACACAUGUCAUGUGUCCUUAAGGGGUUAAAAUGAAUAUAUAAUACGUAUGGGUCCACUGAUAGAGAAGGUUUUAUAUCACAAACCACAAAUUCUUAACUUUGUUUUGGUUCACAAGUUAGAUAAGUGCCUCUAUCCUUAAAGGUCUAAGUUCCAAGAUACAUAUAAAUGACAGGGCUGCUUUAAAUAUGGUUUAAUUCAUAAAAAGAACCAAUGAGAGAUCAGAGAGAUUCAUAAGCUGCUUCACUGAGAACUGGACGAAUUUCUCCAUGUUAAAGCAAUAUUUAAAAAGAAAAAAAAAAAGUCCACAAAAAACAGGAGAGGCUUGGCAAGUGACAUGUCCUCUCUCCUCCAUUCCAUGGGGUGCUGAGUGGAAAGUUAAAUAAACAAAAAGGGAUGAUCAGUCAUUUCACACCCUCUAUUAACCUUAUUAUUGGCCACAUAACAACCCAGAAGAUACUCUGCAUGGGCCACAUUACUAGGCCUUUACUGUUAUACAUGCUUAGGGGUGGCUAAGAGCUUGAGGAUCCCAAGCUUUCUUGGAGCAUUUACUUGAAGAUCCCAGGAGACAGGAAUUCUAAUGAGAUCUUAAAGAAGCUGUUAUUAUUUAAUUUGGCAUUGAAUCCAGGCAAUAUUCUGUAAAGAAUAUGGGCUGUUAAUUUUUUUUUAUUUUAUUUUUUUAUAAAUUCUUUAUUUUGAAAAGUUUUGUAUUUAAUGGGUGGGGGUACAGAAAAGAAAACAAGGGAUUAGAAUUCUUGAGAAGUGUAUCACAGUGCAUACAUGUUGUGCAAUAUUCGUCAACAAAUAGGUCAAGCUCAUGUAACAGUUGUGCUCCUUAGGAAUCUAUUUGUAUUGUUUGCAAGUUAACAUUUUGCAUUGUCUCGUUGAUAAUUGAUCCUCUUGGUACUGAGGUGGUUGGGUUUGGGGGGGGGUGUUAUUUUUAACCUUAAUGGUGUGUUGUCUGUAGUGUGGUCCUAGUGAUCACUUGCGUUAGAGCUUGUAUGGCUAGAUUCGGUGGUAGCGUCUAGUAGUGUGGGGGACCGGUAUUGGAUAAAUGGGGAAGGAUAGAUAACAUGUGUCCUCUACUUUCGUUUCUGAUUUGCCAAUAUUUUGUUAGUGCGUUUGGUUUAUUUAAUGAGGGCGGCUUGUGUCAUCUCGCUAGUUGGCUCUCAUUUCUAUGCUCCUACUAGUCUUUCGUAUACGUUUUGGUAAUGUAGUUAGGGUGGGGGUGUGGAUAGGGGGGAGGGUUUGGGUGGUCUACCAUCUGCUUUGGUUAUCUUAAGUUAUUUGUUUGGUGUUGUCCUGCGGCUGAAUGAGUCAAUUGUUGUGGGUUUGUGACUGUUGUGUGGUUUCUGUUUGGUCUCUGUGGGGGUAUUCCUCACUGCGGUCCGUGAGGUUAGUGAAGGUUGUGGUUUGUCUUUUGUUUAUCUAGGGAGGGAGGUGUGGGUUGAGGUUAGGGAGGAGGUAGGUGAGUAUCCGGUUUACAGUCUCCUCUUUAGGAUUGUCCUCUGGAGAUCUGGUCUCUGUGUCGAGUCUAAUAAUCUUGGUGUGUGUUAGUUAUGAUUCAGUUGUGUGGUUUUGAUCAGUUAGCUUUUUCCCCUGCGGGUGGGGGUGUAUUUUGCUGGUGUUUGUCGUCGUGGGUUGUGUCUUGUUUGUUGGGUGGGGUUUGUUUGGAUUUCAUGGUGCUGAUAGGAAAGUGUCAGGUGUGGGGGGUGCGUGUUUGUUUAACGAGUCUCACCGGGUGUGUAUUGAGUGGUGGAUUAGCCAGGGAUCCCAUAUUUUAUUGUGGUGGUGGGUCGUGUCGUGGAUAAGGGCCGAGAGUGUGUCCAUUUCCAUGGCAUCCUUUGUUUUGUGUAUCACGGUCUCUAUUGUGGUGGUAUUUUGGUUGCCCCAUUGUUCCGCAAUUGUGCGUCUAGUGGCUAGUGCAAUUUUUGCGAGUAAUUUGUUCUGAGACCUGAUCAGUGGGGCAUGGGGUUUCGAGAGUAACCAGAUCCAUGGGUCCAUGGGUAUGUCUGUGUGGAGGAUUUGGGAUGUGAGUUCAGCCACGUUUGUCCAAAGGUGAGAUAUGUAGGGGCACUCCCACCAUUGGUGGAUGUAAGUACCUUGGGCUCCGCAGCCCUUCCAACAUGUAUCAGUGUUGGAGCGUCCCAUCUGUUUUACUCGUAGAGGUGUUAGGUACCAUCUGUGGAGCGUUUUGUAAGCUUGCUCUUUAUGGUUCACACAGAUUGUGAGGGACGCUGUUGCUUCCCAUAUUUUAGCCCAAUCCAAGGGGUCUUUCGGGGGACCAAUGUCCCUUUCCCAUAUUCUAGUGUAGGAGAUGGCUUCUGUUUGGGAGGUGGAGUUCAGUUAGGUGUAAAUGGAAGAGAUUUGGCCUUUGUGUAUUGGGUUGUGCAUGCAGUCGUGUUCGAAUGGGGUCAAGUUGGUAGUCGCUGCGGCUAUGUGUCGGGGGCCUUGAAGAAACUGCGGAGUUGUAUAUAUCUAAAUUGGUCAAAGGUGGUUAGUGGGAAUUGUCUGGGUAGGUCUUGAAAUUGAAGUAGCUGGUUGGCUCUAAAGAAAUGGUAGAAGCGGAAGAGUCCAUUGUCCUCGUAGUGUGCGAAGUCUCGGGGUGUCAUACCUGGGGGGAAUUGCUUGUUGCGUAGAAGUGGUGUGAGUGGCGAUGGUUUGUUGAUGAGAGGGGUUUUGCGAGUGACUCUGUCCCACACUAGGAAGGAUGUGUGUAGGGUAGGGGUCGUUUGUGGGGUGUCCGGUCUUAAUAGUUUCGGGAGCCAGAAGAGUAGUGAGGGAUGGUCACCAUCCAGUAGGUCAUGUUCUAAGUCUACCCAUAGUUUCAUGCCUGGUGGGGCAUGUAAGUGUUGUAUCUGUGUUAGUUGGGCGGCUUGAUAAUAGUUAUAGAAGUUUGGAAGACCUCCGGAUUUGGUGGUCUGAUACAUUGUGGAUCUUUUGAUUCUGGGUCUUUUGUUGGACCAUAUGAAAUUGUCAAUUUUGGUUUGAAGUAAUUUAAAGUCUUUUCGGGAUAUUGGGAUGUUAAGUGUUUGGAAAAGGUAUAUGAAUCUUGGGAGCAGGGUCAUUUUUACUGAGGCUAUCCAUCCUAACCAUGAUAUUGGCAUAGUGUCCCAACGUUGAAGGUCUGUCUGUGCUUGUUGGAUUAGGGGUGUGUAGUUUGCUGUGUAUAAAGUAGAGAGGUGUCUGGGGAGGAGAAUUCCGAGGUAUCGGAUAUUUUCUUCCCUAUAGGUGAAUGGGUGUGUGGUUUUCAGCUGUAUCAGAGUUGUUUCUUUUAUUUCCAAUGGUAAUGCUUUGGUUUUGUCUAGGUUUAGUUUAUACCCCGAUAGGGUUGCGUAUUCGUCUAACAGCGCUAUUAGGGGUGGAAGAGAUUGUGUGGGUUUUGUGAUAGUCAAUAGUAUGUCAUCAGCAUAUGCUGCUAUUUUAUAUUCGUCUCUGUUUAUUUUGAGUCCAUAUAUCGAUGGGGAGUUUCGUAUUUUUUGCAGGAGGGGUUCUAAGGAGAGGGCGAAUAGGAGCGGUGACAACGGGCAUCCUUGUCUCGUUCCGUUGUGGAUUGUGAUUGUUGUCGGUGCCACAUUGGGUAUUAGGAGUGUAGCCGUCGGUCGGUGGUAUAAGGAGGUCAGGGCUGUGAUGAAGGGUCCAUGGAGAGGAGAAGAGUCGGGAUUUGUCUACGUUGGGCCACCCGCAUGAGAUCUAGGGUACGUCUGGUGUUGUCGCUCGCCUGUCUGGAGGGGAUGAAACCCACUUGUCAGGGUGAAUCAAUUUAGGAAGGAAGGUUUGUACGCGGUUCGCCAGAAGUUUAGUAACUAUUUUGGUAUCUACAUUGAGGAGGGAUAUGGGCCUGUAGUGUCCUGGGUCGAGGUGUGUCUUGUUUGGCUUUGGGAGGAGGCAUAUGUUUGAACUCAGCAUGUCGUUUGGUAGGGCGUCUCCUUGUAACAGUGAAUUGAAUAGUGUGGCUAGGUGGGGGAUGAGGAUGUCCGAGAACGUCUUGUAGUAGAGGCCUGUGAAGCCAUAUGGUCCCGGGCUCUUGUGUGGUUUGAUUGUUUUUAGUAUGUACGCUAUUUCCUCCGUCGUGACGGGGGCCACUAUUUGUGUCUUUGCUUCGUCGGGCAGUGUAGGGAGGGGGAUAUCUUUCAGGUACGACUCUAUGUCUCUUUGAUUGGUUAUCUGUUGCUGACGUUGGUGGGCUUCUGGUUUAUGGUUGUAUAGUUUUGUAAAGUAUUUGGCGAAGAUAGAUGCUAUGUCAUCUGGGGUGUCAUAUGUCGUGCCUUUGGGUGAGUUUAUUUUGUCUAUCCGUUUUGUUUGUGCUUUGUGAUGAAGUUUGCGCGCAAGGAGGGAGUCUGCUUUGUUGGAUUUGUCAUAGAAGAGUUGCUUGGUCCAUAGGAGCGCUUUUUGGGAGUCUUUGGACAUGUAUUUUUUGAUGGCUUGUUGAUGGGAUUUGAUCUGUUGGAGAAUGUCUGGGGUUGGGUCUGUUUUAUGUUGGUCUGUGAGGGUCCGUAGCUGGAGUAGGUGGUGUUUAAGUACCACCAUUUUCUGUUUUUUUUUGUCUGGUAGCCUGUUCUAUUAGUUUCCCUCUGAUCAACAUUUUGUGCGCCGCCCAUAGCAUGCCCGUUGAGUGUACUGAGUCUUUGUUGUCAAUGAAAUAGUUCCCUAGUUCAGAGCGUAUUGUCUUUCUUAUGUCUGGGUUAUGGAGUAGGGUGGGGUUUAGGCGCCAUGUCCACGUCCGGGUUGUGAGGGGGAUCUGCAGUUCGAGUGUUAUGUCCGCAUGGUCUGACCAUGCUAUAUUGCCUAUUUGUCGUCAGGGGGAGUAGGAAGGGGGAGAUUAAAAACAUAUCAAUUCUAGAGUAGGAAGAGUGUGGGUGUGAGUAGAAGGUGAAGUCCGGUGUGUCGGUGUGUUGCAGUCUCCAUACGUCUUGGAGACCUGUGUGGAGUGCAAAAUCCGCUAAUGAUUUGUCCAGUUUGGUGGGGUAUUUGGUGGAUUUGGUUUUAGCAGCCGUGGCCCAUUUACGGUCUAUAAGGGGGGACAUGACUGCAUUGUAAUCUCCCCCUAGUAUUAUGUGAUGUGAGGCAAAUAGUUUUAGGUGGGCUUUGAGGGUCGUCCAGAAAAGCGGGUCCGGUUUGUUGGGCGCGUAUAUGUUUGAGAUAGCAUAUCUGUGGUUCCCCAAGUUACCUGUUAUUGUCAGGAACCUGACUUGUGGGUCUGCUAUUGUGUUUUUGAAGGUUAUCGGGCAAGAUUUAUGUAGUAGUAUUGCCACCCCGUUGUAUUUGCCAGUUUGGGAGUUCACUAGGUGGCAUGUCGUGUAGUUUUUGUUUUUAAGGGGGAAGGAUCUGGUUUCUUCAAAGUGUGUUUCCUGAAGGAGGAUUAUGUCUGCCCUCGUGCGGUUCGCCCAGCGCAUCAGUUGAUGCCGUUUGGCCGGGUUACUUAGGCCUUUACAGUUAAGUGAUAUACAUGAGAUUGUCCUAGGCAUGGUGUGUAGUGUGCGGUCUUUGGAGUAGUUGGUGGUAGACCUGCCGGGGCUGUUAAUUUUUGAAUGGAAUUAUGCCUUACAGCAUAGCUGAAAUCGGCAGCAGUACAGCUAUUUACAUCACCUAGUCAAUCAACCAAUUUGUGUUGGUGCAUGCAGAACAUAAAUUAUUAGCAUUUUUAACCCGUUAAGGGGUUAAACAAACAUCUAAUUCUUUCAAAACAAACCAUUUUAGCAGUUUAUCACCAAUUAUUAUUUAAACUAGAAGUCAUUUUUAAAUGGACUCUAUAAGUGAAUUUCCCAGAUCCACCAUGUUUUAAGGACACAUACAAUUUUGUCAUAUUUAUAAAAACGCAUAUAAAAAGGUUGCUGAAUAUAUAAUGCAUAAUCUGCUGGAUUCUUCACGGCCAAAUUACUUAAUCUUAUACAUCUACUUCUGUAUUCUACAUAUUACAGGGCAAGCCUCUUUAUAUGCUACCAUGAACUAUGUGUUCCUGAAAACAUGGUGGAUAUGGUAAUCCUAACUAUAAACAACUUUAGUUUAAUGGAGUGGUUUUGGUGUAUAGAUUAUUCUCUUGCAGUAUAAUUGCUCAAGUCUGUGCAAUUUAGGUGUUAAAUCACUUUGUUUCUUCAGUCCUAGCCACACCGUCCUGCAUGUGGCUCACACAGUCUUCCUAAACACUUCCUGUAAAGAAAGAGCUAAUGUUUAACCCCUUAAGGACUAUCCUUCAUUUCUUUUUUUUUGUACUUAAAGGGACACUGUAGGCACCCAGACCACUUCAGCCCAUUGAAGUGGUCUGGGUGCCAACUUCCAUCACCCUUAACCCUGCAAAUGUAAUUAAUGCAGUUUUUAUAGACUGCAAUAAUUACCUUGCAGGGUAAAGUCCUUCUCUAGUGGCUGUCUACCAGUCACUAGAGGGACUUCGGGCUUCUUAGACUACUUUUGGUCAUCUAAGCUAUGCAUGAGGACCUCCAGCGUUACCGGAAUCCCCAUAGGAAAGCUUUCAUAUGUGGAGGUCUAAUGCGCAUUAGGUCUCCCCCGCUGGCGGACGUCGGCAGAGGAGUGUGGGCUGAUCAGGCUGGGCCUGAUCCAGCGCAGAGGGACAUCGCCGCUGGAUUCAUGUAAGUGACUGAAGAGGUUUUAACCCCUUCAGCGACGUGGGAUGGGGGCAAGAGGGAGGGGAGCACUCCACGAUUCUACAGUACCAGAAAGCGGUUUUGUUUUCCUGGCACCACAGAAUCCCUUUAAGGACCAAAGCAUUUUUUUGCAUUGCAAUGUGUGUGUUCAGUCGCAAUUUCCAUCUGUCUCAUUUAUUGGACUAAAAUAUCUUUUUUUUUAAAUCUGUUUUUUAACCCCUUAAGGACCAAACUUCUGGAAUAAAAGGGAAUCAUGACAUGUCACACAUACUUGUAUAAAUGCUCAUUUAUCAUAAAAAUGUAUUUAAGAAAUGCACAUAUAUUUUUUUUAAUUUUGGCAAUAAAAAUGCAUGCAUAAUUCAUGCAGCUUAAGAAAAGUGUUUCAAAAUAAAUUCAUGGUAGUUACAGGUCACAAAAUAAAAUUUCCAUGUGGAGCAAUUUUAGAAUUUGGCCUAUGUGUCUUCUAAGUUUACCAGUCAUCAUUGAAACUAAAGCUUGUGAUCUGCCCAAAUUCAUUUGAAAGCUAAUAAAAAGUAUAUGUUAACCACAUUCCAGCAAGGCAAUGUACAAAUUGCACUGCAAGCAGGCAUGGCUAACGCUUGCUAUGUCUCAGCAGUUACCUGGAUGUCUCUUAAAAGCACAUAUAAACAACUUUUAUUUUAUAAAAUACAGAUCUGACAGAGUAUUAUCGUUAGCAUUUAUAUAGCACCAACAUAUUCCUCCUGGCUUCACAAUGAUAGAAAUGUGAUAUUUAAAGGUAAAAAAAUUAGCCUGGACAAGUCUACAAGAUGUGGGUAGGCGGAGAUACAUUAUUAGGUGCCUAGCCCAAGGCUACUUACUGAUAACGUGUUUAGUUCUAAAGCAGUGACAUUACCACUGCUCUAGCAUGCCAAUAUAUAAAUAGAUAAAGCCAUGUAAAGGUCAUCACAAGAAAAAAAUAAUAUACUAAUUCUGUCUAGCAGAUUCAGUGCCAGUAAAAGAUGUCCUCAACAUAUUUACCCUUUAUUUUUUUAAAUACUUUAUUUAUGAGCUCAGGAAGACUUUUGGUGUAUGUGACGGAACGCUGGCACUCCGACCGAGUACCUCUGCCAAUCGAUGCUCCUAGCGCUUGCUGAGGACUCCGAGCACUCCAACCGACACCAUCAGCACUGCGGACCCCACUUCCAGCGAUGCAGCUGCGCCGGGGUCUCGCCGUCCUUAAACCACCCUGGACCCAAGGCCAGGAUCCAGCUUCCAGUGGGCAGACCUCUCUUCCUCCAGAGAGCGUAGCAGGAACAAGAACAGCUCUUACAAGAGCUUCCCCUGGGAAGUAUAGUGUGAUUAUAGCAAUCCCCAGAGUGUAGUUAUCCCAUCCCCCAAGCAUGAGCCAAGGCUUCAAGAAAGGGUCAAGCAGGUCUGUUUAAUGCAAGCCAGCACUUACAAUUUAUACACACAUUUAAACCCCCAACAGCCUCAUUUACAUACAAUAGGUUACAUAGAGCACUAUAUUACAAGGAAAGGUGGAAUCAGACAAUAGCAAGGGUUGAUGGGAGAUUAAGGAGGGACAAAGCAGCCAGUUUAAACUGAUCUGGCACUGUCCCUGGGACAACGCCCUGCUGGGGAAACAAUUGGACAGGAAAAAGGGGGGAGGGGAAGAGGCAAAGACAAGCAAUACAUUCAACAUACUCUUCCUCUGUGUCUGAGAGAUAAUUGAUUAGCUCCAGGUACAGAAAAAUGCACAAUUUACAAACACCCCAAAAGUACCCCAAGAUCCAUGAAAACCUCACAAGAGUCACAUCCUCAGAUAGCCCUGAUCUGGGUGACCAACAUAUUCAAAAAUCACACAGAUCGGUUCAGUGGUUUGGUUUUUCCAUGGAAGUCACUUUUUUAACAUGUCUUUUUGCAGGGGCAAGAGGCUGGCAAGCAGGCCUCUCCAUGUACAAGUGGCGAGGUUACUUUCGCCACAGUGCACAUCUUAGGAUAUNNNNNNNNNNNNNNNNNNNNNNNNNNNNNNNNNNNNNNNNNNNNNNNNNNNNNNNNNNNNNNNNNNNNNNNNNNNNNNNNNNNNNNNNNNNNNNNNNNNNUGGGGAGUAUAGUGUGAUUAUAGCAAUCCCCAGAGUGUAGUUAUCCCAUCCCCCAAGCAUGAGCCAAGGCUUCAAGAAAGGGUCAAGCAGGUCUGUUUAAUGCAAGCCAGCACUUACAAUUUAUACACACAUUUAAACCCCCAACAGCCUCAUUUACAUACAAUAGGUUACAUAGAGCACUAUAUUACAAGGAAAGGUGGAAUCAGACAAUAGCAAGGGUUGAUGGGAGAUUAAGGAGGGACAAAGCAGCCAGUUUAAACUGAUCUGGCACUGUCCCUGGGACAACGCCCUGCUGGGGAAACAAUUGGACAGGAAAAAGGGGGGAGGGGAAGAGGCAAAGACAAGCAAUACAUUCAACAUACUCUUCCUCUGUGUCUGAGAGAUAAUUGAUUAGCUCCAGGUACAGAAAAAUGCACAAUUUACAAACACCCCAAAAGUACCCCAAGAUCCAUGAAAACCUCACAAGAGUCACAUCCUCAGAUAGCCCUGAUCUGGGUGACCAACAUAUUCAAAAAUCACACAGAUCGGUUCAGUGGUUUGGUUUUUCCAUGGAAGUCACUUUUUUAACAUGUCUUUUUGCAGGGGCAAGAGGCUGGCAAGCAGGCCUCUCCAUGUACAAGUGGCGAGGUUACUUUCGCCACAGUGCACAUCUUAGGAUAUCACAUAAAAACUCAACAUAGAGAGAAUACACAGUUCAUUCGUAGUGAUAUACAAUGAUUGGUACAUAUUUUACCUAGUAGUAUUUGUUACAUCGUUAAUAUUUUAGAUAUAGAUAUAGUUACAGAACACAUGACGUUUUUCAUUGGUGAGGAACAUAAUGGAAGAGGACAUAAACAUCAUGUUGUUUAUGCUCAGUGGUUACAGGCUGUGCUCAUUGCCCUCACGAGGGUAUCUGCAGCAUUUGUGCGCCUAGUCAGGGUUGCUUCAGACGUUAGGACCAAUUUAUGUUACUACUAGCUAUGAUGUUAAGUUUUUGAGGUUUGAUAUUUCCUGGCUCCAUUUUUGUAUUUUAUAAACAGAGAUUAAAGAGUGAAAGAUAGAAGCGUUGUGUGGGGGGAGGUGAACAGUGAAAGGGAGAGGGGGAGGGGUUGAGAGCAGAGCAGGGAAGAGAUGGGCUUGGUCUCUUUAAGGGAGAUCCAGGGCUCCACGUCAGUGACCUCGUUUGUCAUAUCUUAUCUGAUCGGUUAAUGCUCUAAGUGUUCCUGCAAUGGUGGCCAAACCUUUGUGAAUGUUGACUAUGUGUUUUGACACAUUUACCUUUUAUUAAGGUAUUCACUUCACUGUUUUUGAUCUUGCUGCCAAUCAGCAAACUGUCUGGCAUUGAUUUCACAUUCAAAUAUGAUGUUAUCUUUGCUACCAUACCACGCUGUCUUUGUCUUCAUAUACCUAGUAUAUUUACAGUGUGUAUAAUCUAUCUAUCUAUCUAUCUAUCUCACACAUUAGGCCCCCAGAAUGCUCAGAUUCAUUAUGGGUAAUAACUGCCUAGAUAAUACUAAAUGUGACAGACCUCUAUGUCCCUGGAUUUUGUAUUUCUAAUUAUGAGUUAAUUGGUUUGUUCGGUGUUUUUACCUCCCUAUGUACAGAUUUUUGUUCGAAUAACCGAACUAAUUACCGCACAACCGGUCACCCAGUAGUGGAGUUUGCUGCCUAUUGACCCUUUUAACAUUUAUAACACUUUGGGAAACCGCAAAACACCUCAACGUUCUGAGUGGUCGGCUGGGUGGUCGUCGUUCGUAUGCACGAACAUGUGGCAGCGGCCAUCUUAAACUGUCGAAUGGCCAGUGGUAUUUUGUCGUAGAGUGUAGGGAACUGUUUUCAGGCACUCAAUCGCAUGAACACUGCUGGGCCUUCCAGACUUCCAGUAAUUCGUUACAUUUAAGCAUACUGUAACAGAUCCCCUAGUAUUGCCUGGCCAAUAGACUUGAAAGAUUAUAACCACUGGAUUUGUUACUGUUGUUAUAUUGCACAUACAAAUGGGAAAACGAAUGACACUGCUAGCCCAUUUGCAGUAGUGUACACACGAUCCAUGUGGCCCCGGUGCGAAAAAUGAUCCGUAGGCCCCCUCCCCCCGGCACUUACUCUUACUCUUAUUUUUGACACUUCACUUUCGAGUUGAGCACGUAUUUUUCUUUUUGGGGGUUUACUUGUCAGCUUUAAUUAUGAGUUUAUGGCGAUUAAUAACCUCCAGUAGAGCUUUUAGAUGAGGUAGCAUUUAGAGCAAGCAAUACAGCCCUGUCUACCUCUGAGCCUAGUAUGCACUAUUCUAUUUAGGACUGUGAGUGGUUGAGAAGGAUGGAGAUGGCAUAGCUGAGCUAUCCUUCCUAUACAGCAAGAGCAGGGGAUUUAUUCCAACCUGUGGUGACAUUCUGUCAUCAAACUAAUAUGGUGACCAGGGGUCAUGUGACCAAGCUCAUGUUUGCCUUUCUUACAGUGGGAUAAGCUUUACCCUCAGGAGAGAGAUAACCACUUCCCCCUAUCUCCAUUCCUCUCUGUUCCUUCUUGGCUGUGCUGCAGAGCAGAUGUGCAGACGCCAUGUGCUGGCAUGGUGAACCAUGUUACACUCUGUUGCUUCCUUUUCUUCCUUGGUGGAUGUGAUGUUGAACUUGCAGCAGUGAGCCAUUACUAGAUGUGAAGGCCUAACCGUGGGUGAGAUCAAACGUGUGGGGAAGGGGAUUACUAUAUAGAUAGAUUUAAAAAGGGUUGUUGCUCCGUGGGUCUGGGCUGUGUGUUUGUGAUACAUUUACAGUAUUGUGUUGUUGCCUUUUAAUAAAUACCUUUUAAUGUAGACGAACCUUGUGUAAUAUAUAUAUUAAUUUGGUGAUACACCACACAACCUAUCUCUCCAAUUCUAAUUUAGUAUAGCUUUCUAGUGGUCUAUUAAUUUUGGCAAGUGAGCAUAUUAUCCCACUUUAUUUUUGAUUAUGUAUUUUUUGUUUACUAUUGGGGCGACUAGGUUUGCAGUAAUCACUUAUAGACCACCAGUGACCAAGGAGACAGAUUAUAGUCAGGGAGAGUUGUCCCUGUUAGUAAUAACUGGACAGUAUUAGAUUUAUGCUCAGCUUUAGAGGCAUACUCCUCAACUAUACACUCUGCGGUUAUUUUGUAGCAACACUUAGCUUUAUACAUUCUAGGGGUAAACUUGUAACUGUUUAUUUGUGGAUAUUGUAUCCCUCAUCCAGAUAGGACUUGCUACAGGCAAUUUUACCCUAUUUUAAGGUUCCCUCACGCUGUACUGUUCUAUACUCAUAUUCAGACAAGGCAAUUUUGAGCUUUUACAGCUAACCUCUAGGAUACAAAUGUUUUUUCUUUUGCGUGAUUAGUAUUGGAAUGUUCAUUAUUUNNNNNNNNNNNNNNNNNNNNNNNNNNNNNNNNNNNNNNNNNNNNNNNNNNNNNNNNNNNNNNNNNNNNNNNNNNNNNNNNNNNNNNNNNNNNNNNNNNNNUUUGUUUUGUGUAUAUUUGCAACCAAUAAAGUAUGUUUUUAGAUUAAAUGGGACUAAGACUUGGAGAUAUCCUUACCAUGAUCUUGGGACUUUCUUUGUGAACCCUUGAUCACUCUCUGUUUACUUUAUUAUUAUUUCUUGCCACAUCAAUUGGCCUUUAUCAUCACUGUUGCUCCUCUGAUCACACAAGCUUUCCUACUAAAAUGCUGUAAAUCUAGUUGCUCCUCUGAUCACACAAGCUUUCCUAAUAAGAUGCUGUAAAUCUAUUUGUCCUCUGGCAUCAUUUACAACAAAUAUUCCAACGUUCCUAUCUGACCUCAAAGGGUUAAACUGCAUAAAGCUGGGAACACCUACACAGACAUGAAAAAGAAGAGCCCUGUUAAGGAAUCUCUCCUCCUUCACUACAAAAAUCGCAACUUCUCGCUAAUCAAGCUACUCAAACAUCCCAGCUCAUAUCAGAUGGUUAUCAAUAACCAUAGUAGAGGUUUUGUCAUGGUUCUGAUCAGGUCAGACAAGAGACUUAUGCCGGUAUUGACGUGAGGUUCUUUAUUUUAGUGUUUUGACAUGGUUAGACAAGAAAAACAAUAGGAGUAGUAGGACUUAAAUUGAAGAGGAAAUAAUAAAGACAAAGGGAGAAGGGAGAACCUAUAAACAGAGUUACAGGUAAGUAUAUUGCGAGUUGUAAAAUAUAGAGUUUAGGCAAUUGGCCCCAGACAGGUUAUAAAGUUAUAAGAAAACCUAUAAACUAAAUUAGAGGCCAAAAAGUAGGAGGAGAACCUGUAAACGAAAUUAUAGGCAAUUAUAAAGGAGAGAGAAUAGAAAACAAGAGAGUUAGGCAAUAUGCCCCAGACAGGUUUAACCCGUUAAGGACCAAACUUCUGGAAUAAAAGGGAAUCAUGACAUGUCACACAUGUCAUGUGUCCUUAAGGGGUUAAGGAAACAGAAAAAACCUAUAAGUGAGAUUAUAGGUGCAACAAGAUCAGGAAAACCUAUAAAUGAAAUAAUAGGUGACAGGUAAUCAAAAUACAAUUAGAUAAAACUAAACAGAAAUAUAAUGGAUAAAGUAAUACAGGUUAAGUUAGCAAUUGAGGUGAUCAGCCUCUUUGGUUUGAUGUCAGAACUGCAGUUUCAGAUAGUUAUAAAUAGGGUUUUUUAGGAUACUUGCAAAUAAUAGGAAAGUCUGUAAUAUCCAGGUAGGUUGGAACAAAAGCGAUAAGGAAACAAAGUCCAGUGUAGAAUAAAGCAGGUUUGUUGUGUAGAUCAAGUUGUAAUAAUAAUCUUCAGAGUAUAGCAGGUGUAGCGGAGCCCUAGUCCUAGCAGGGACUCUCCUCUGCUGGGUACUCCAAUAUAUACUCAGGAACAAGCAACACACUCCAAUAGAACAGCCAAACACAGUAAAAUAAUCCAGGAAUCUCCAACCUCAUCCCCAGCAACUGGACGACACUCAGCUCUGGGGGUAUAACUAUUUUUUAUUGUCACAUACACAGCUUUUGACACUGUUGCACAUAGAAUGCUUAUCAAUAAACUGCAAUCUUUAAGUUUGGAUUCCAAUAUUGUUGAAUGGGUAAGGCAGUGGCUGAGUGACAGGCAACAGAGGGUUGUAGUUAAUGGAAUAUAUUCAAAGCUUGGGCUUGUCACCAGUGGGGUACCUCAGGGAUCUGUACUUGGACCCAUUCUCUUUAAUAUUUGUAUUAGUGAUAUUGCAAAAUGUCUUGAUGGUAAGGUAUGUCUUUUUGCUGAUGAUACUAAGCUAUGUAACAGGGUUGAUGUUUCAGGAGGGAUAAGCCAAAUGGCAAAUGAUUUAGGUAAACUAGAAAAAUGGUCAGAGUUGUGGCAACUGACAUUUAAUGUGGAUAAGUGCAAGAUAAUGCAUCUUGGAUGUAAAAACCCAAGGGCAGAGUACAGAAUAUUUGAUAUUUUCAAGACUCUUUUGUUUCAGGUAUUGUACCGGAGGAUUGGAGGAAGGCAGAUGAUGUUCCUGUAUUUAAAACAGGUUCAAAAUCCUUGCCUGGAAAUUGUAGAUUAUACUAGCUUUAGUGCAUGGGAAGGUAACCCCCACCCACGCCGUGGGAGCAGUUAUACCGCGAGCAGAAGCGUGGGUCGGGUGGGAGGUGGAAGCAGAGGAUCUCACUUGGUGGACGGAGCCGGCGGGCGGGAUCCAACAGGUGGGACCGCCAGAGUCUUACUCCAGNNNNNNNNNNNNNNNNNNNNNNNNNNNNNNNNNNNNNNNNNNNNNNNNNNNNNNNNNNNNNNNNNNNNNNNNNNNNNNNNNNNNNNNNNNNNNNNNNNNNGGUCCCGACGGUCGGCAACAGAAAGCGGUCAGAGGACCGCUUUCCGUCAGCCGCAAACGGACGAAAAGUGAAGGGGCAAAGUCACACGGAAAAGGUAGAGGGAGGGAGGGAAAAAGGAAACCCCCCCAAACCCGAGAAAAAAACGAUCCCCAGACAAGGGGGCCCAAAACAGGAAAAUGCAGAAAAGUCAUAAGAGAAAAUACAUACCUACAGCAAAAAAGUAGGGACAGAAAAAUACAAUCUAAAUAAAUUAUACAUAACGGCAGUAGGAAGGUAAACACAUUCUAAACAAAUAAAUCCCUGCAGCCAUAAGAAGGUAGAUGCAGCAAAACAGAGUAAAUAAAUCAAGCAAUCACUAUAGCACUAAGCAGGUAGGUGAAGAAAAUACAGUAUAGUUAAAUAAAUCAUUCCCUACAGCACUAAGAAGGUAGAUGCAAAAAUACUCUCUAAAUAAAUAAAUCAAUACAGUAAUAAACAUAUGAAUACAGUAAAAUAUCCACAACCACCCAUAUAUAACAGGAGGCAGUGGUACUCUGACCUGUACUGACUGUGGAGCAGCAAAGAAAGAGGAAAUAGUUAGUUGGGAGAAGCCAUUUAUAGAUUCCUGAUUUUGUUUUGUCUCUGGUGUUUUUAUCUCUAUGUUAAUGUGCUGUUGUGGAGUUCUAGUAAAGAGAGACUUAAGCAAAUAUGAAACCUCCUGUCAUGCUAUAAAAUUAUAGACCUGUGAGCUUAACUUCUGUGACUGGGAAAUUAUUUGAACGGCUAUUAAGGGAUAAUAUUCAGGAAUUCAUUGGGAAAAACUGUGUUAUUAGCAAUAAUCAGCAUGGUUUUAUGAAACAUAAGUCAUGUCAAACUAACCUAAUUGCGUUCUACGAAGAAGUAAGUAGAAGUAUAGAUCAGGGUGUUGCAGUGGAUGGGAUCUACUUGGAUUUUGCCAAGGCAUUUGAUAUGGUUCCUCACAAUAGGUUAGUCUUCAAACUAAAAGAAAUUGGUCUAGAUGAAUAUUCUUGUUCUUGGGUAGAAUAUUGGCUUAAGGAUAGAGUACAACGAGUUGUUAUUAAUGGUAAAUUUUCAAGCUGGACAAAAGUGGUAAGUGGUGUCCCUCAGGGUUCUGUUUUGGGACCGCUUCUAUUUAACAUAUUUAUAAAUGAUCUUGAAAUGGGUGUUUGCAGAUGACACAAAACUUUCUCGAGAUGAAAAUAUAAUUUUGCCUCUUUAUAAAUCGCUGGUAAGACCACACCUUAAAUUCUGUUCUGUUCUAAAGAAAGAUAUCAUGGCACUAGAAAAAGUGCNNNNNNNNNNNNNNNNNNNNNNNNNNNNNNNNNNNNNNNNNNNNNNNNNNNNNNNNNNNNNNNNNNNNNNNNNNNNNNNNNNNNNNNNNNNNNNNNNNNNAGAGACGACCUACAAAAUUGAUAAAAGAAAUGGAGCAUUUUAGUUACAAAGAAAGGUUAAAAAAUGUAAAUCUCUUUAGUUUGGAAAAACGGCGCCUGAGAGGGAUAUGAUAACAUUAUACAAAUAUAUUCGGGGCCAGUACAAACCAUUAUCUGGAAAUCUAUUCAUAAACAGGGCUAUACAUAGGACACAAGGUCACACAUUUAGGCUGGAAGAAAGGAGAUUUCAUCUAAGGCAAAGACAUUUUUUUUACAGUAAGAGCAUGACCGCACCAACUCACUGAGCUUACCUGCUCAGUGGCGAGCCGGGAACCGCUCCACCACGCCGCUCCAGGAAAUCCAAGAUGGCCAUGCGGUCACGUCCAUCCAUGGCUCCACCCCCCAAAAUUAUACGACCGUGCGCGUGACGUCACAACGUCAUUGCAUGCGCACGUUCUGGGGUCAGAGGUCACCCUCUGACCAAUCAGAGCCUAGAGAGGGAUAUUUAAAUCCCUAAUUCUCCCCAGUACCUUGCCCUGUCGUGGUUUCCUGUUCCUGGUUUCCUGAGAGUGCGUUUUUCCCUGUGAUAUUGAUAUUCUGGUAUUCUGAUCUUGGCUAUUCUCCAUUGUUGCCUUUGGGUCUGAGUGAGCGAUGUGCUCUGUCGAAGUGGAUCGGUGUUGUGGUUGGUUUCUCUAAUAAUAAAUUAAAAAGCUCCUGCAAUGUUGCUUGUAUAUCUUCAGCCUCAGUUUCGGGAAGGCCCUUGAUCCUGAGGUUGUUUCUGAGCCCCCUGUUAUCUAUGUCGUCCAGCGACCUUUGAAGCUGAGACAUUUGGGUUUCGUGGGCGUCUAAACGGUUUGACAGUGUGUUGAGUUGGAUCUGUACCUGCCCCCUGUCUUCCUCCAGGUAAUGUACACGGAGGCCUACCUGCCGGAUUUCAGCACUCAGUCCCUCCAUUUUGUGCUGGAAUGAAGUUUCAAGUUUCUCCAGCAUUGUUGUGAGGUCUGCCUUGGAGGGCAAAUUUUGGAGCAGGAUCUUGUUCCGUUGAGGCUGCUCUGAUGCCGCAGGGCUGGGCGGAUUGGAGAGGUGUUCUCUCACCAUCAGCACCAUGUUUGCCAUGCCGUGUUCCGCCGUGCGGUCGGCAUAGUCUUUGAAAAAUUUAGAGACCGAGCCCGGUUUCUCGGCGGGUGCUUUCCCGCUACUUGUGUGGGCGCACUGGGUCCUUUUGGGGUUCCCCAUAGUUGUAGGUGCUCGUGCUCCUGCUGUUUUAUUGCCUGCGGUGCCGGAGCCGAGCUAACAUGCGGCCAUCUCCUCUGAUGGUCGGCCACGCCUUUUAUAAUGAAUUCUUAACGGCAUUUAAAGCCACUUUUGAGCCAAAGGGAAGAGAGAAAAAUGCUGCCAGAGCCUUAAUGAGAAUAAAACAAGGCACCCGUUCUGUAGCUGAUUAUGCCAUCCAGUUCAGGACAUUAGCUUUUGAGGUUGACUGGACCAAUAGUGGUUUGCUGCUUUUUCUGAAGGCUUAGCGGAAAAUAUACAAGAUGAGACCGCAGCCAGAGACCUUCCAGUUAAUCUUAAUGAUUUUAUUGCAUACAUGAUUGACAUUGACAACAGGCUCAGAGAGAGGGAGGAAAACAAACAGCAUACUAGAUGUACAAACUUGUCUAUAGCCCCUCAUUUCUCUAACCCAGUAACUGUUAGUCCUGCUCCACCUUCAGAAACCGAACUCAUGCAAUUGGGAACCCAUGCAAUUGGGAAAUUUCUGCCAAACAUCUUCUGCCUUUAAGGCAGAAAGACAGACCCACAGCAGUAGAGGCUAUCGAUGGGAGACCUCUUACUCAACCUCUCAUCUCACACGAAACAAUGUCAAUCACUGUCUCAGUAGGUUUCUUACAUUCUGAAGAAAUGGUUUUCCAAAUUAUAUCUUUCCCAACAUGUCCAAUAAUACUCGGUUUUCCUUGGCUCCAGAAACACAAUCCAGGUUUAGAUUGGGUUAAAGGAGAGAUUGUGAGUUUGGGGGAGAGUUGCAGAGGUCGUUGUUUAAAGCAGGUGCCAAAACAAAUCGGUACCAUCAAUGUACCUAUAGCACCUCCCUUAACCACAGAAAUCCCACUGCAGUAUUUGGACUUAAAAGAAGUAUUUAACAUGGUUCAGUCGGAAGUAUUACCUCCACAUAGGCCCUACGACUGUGCCAUUAAUUUGUUACCUGGCAGGCACUAAGCCCCCUAAAGGAGGAGUUUAUGCACUUCCUCCUCAAGAAACCCUUUGUUUAGAAGAAUACAUAAAGGAUGCUCUCAGAAAGAGUCACAUCUUCUUCACCUGCUAGGGCUGGGUGGUUCUUCGUUUCUAAAAAAGAGGGAGACCUACGCCCUUGUAUUGAUUAUAGGGGUCUAAACCAAAUUACGAUUAAAAACGCCUAUCCCAUUCCCCUUAUUUCUGAGCUAUUUGAUAGGUUGAGGGGUGCCCGAGUAUUCACAAAACUCAAUCUAAGGAGCGCAUACAACCUAGUCAGAAUUAAGGAAGGGCAUGAAUGAAUGACCACGUUUAAUACGAGAAUGGGACAUUCCUGAUUAUGAAUUCCUGGUUAUGCCAUUUGGCCUAUGCAACGCCCCAGCGGUAUUUCAGGACUUUAUUAACGAUGUCCUUAGAGAAUAUCUUCACAUGUUUGUACUAGUGUACCUAGACGAUAUUCUCAUCUAUUCCCCAGACCUAGAAACUCAUCACGAACAUGUGAGAAUCAUACUAAAAACCCUGUUAAAGAAUGGCUUAUACUGUAAGCUGGAAAAACGCCAGUUUGACCAGACUGAGAUACAGUUUCUUGGCUAUGUUAUAUCCCCUUUUGGUUUCAAAAUGGACCCAUGCAAACUGGAAGCAGUCUUGCAAUGGCCAUUACCCAAAGGCCUUAAAGCUACACAAUGCUUUAUAGGUUUUGCAAAUUAUUACCGUAAGUUCAUUAAGAGUUUCUCAUCAGUAACAGUAAUCACUCCUAUUACCAACCUAACCAAGAAAGGAGCAAAUUGUAAUUUAUGGUUCAAAGAAGCAAAGGAGGUAUUUGAAAGAUUAAAAUCUUUAUUUGCUUCAGCACCUGUCCUGACGCACCCUGAUCCGACUAAACCUUUUAUUUUAGAAGUUGAUGCGUCAGAGACAGGAGUAGGAGCCAUUCUGUCUCAAAGAGAAAGUCCUGAUGCGACUUUACAUCCCUGUGGCUUUUUCUCUCGAAAAUUAACUCCAGCAGAGAGAAAUUAUGACAUCAGGAAUAGGGAAUUACUGGCCAUUGUUCUCGCCCUUAAGGAAUGGAGGCAUCUCUUGGAAGGUUCCAAAGAGCCACUUUUGAUUUUUACCGAUAAUAAGAAUUUGGCUUAUAGGCUAGAUGGUCAUUAUUCCUCUCCCGGUUUAAUUUUAUAAUUACAUACAUGCCCGGGACAAAGAAUACCAAGGCAGAUGCACUCUCUAGACAGUUUGAGACAGAUGAAGCCCCGGAACAAGAGGUAUCCCUGAUCGUACCUCCAGAAUGUCUCAUUGCUACUACAGUUACUGAAGUAUCUUCUCCACUCUUUGGUGCCAUAAUAGCAGAUCAAACUCAGGCACCCGUGGGGAAACAUCAGGACACCCUCUUUAAGGAAGAAAGUAUUUGGAGUGUUUCAUGAUAAUUUGACAGCAGGACAUCCUGGAAUACAUAAAACUCUCUCUGCUAUUUCCAGACAAUUUUGGUGGCCUACACUCAGAGGUGAUGUUAAAGACUAUGUAGGGGCAUGUCAAAUUUGUGCAGUUUCUAAAACAUCUAAUCAAUCUCCUCCUGGGUUGCUACAGCCACUUCCAAUACCCGAUGCUCCAUGCUGCUGCAAUUUAGCCAUGGAUUACAUUGUGGAACUUCCCAGUUCUAAUGGGCAUAACACCAUCCUCAUGGUUGUAGAUAGAUUUUCCAAGAUUGCACAUUUUAUACCUCUUAAAAAAUUGCUAUCUGCUCAAGCUCUAGUACACAUUUUCAUAAAGGAAAUCUUUCGCUUACACGGAGUACCAAAAAACAUUGUUUCUGACAGAGGUACCCAAUUUAUCUCUAGGUUCUGGUGUGCCUUCUGUAAACAAUUGGGCAUAGAACUUUCAUUUUCCUCUUUGUACCACCCUCAGACUAAUGGCGCAGCAGAAAGGGCCAAUCAAUCUUUAGAAUCCUAUUUGCGUUGCUUUAUCGAUGCCAAUCAGUCCAAUUGGUACAAACUGAAUUUGCCAGAAAUAAUGCUACUCACAAAUUUGCCAGAAAUAAUGCUACUCACGAAUCUCCGAGUCAGAGUCCAUUUUGUGUAAGUCAAGGUUAUCACCCUACUGUUUUACCUUCUGCAUUUUCAGGCACUGAUAUUCCUGCAUUAAACACCCGUUUGACUUCUAUACAGGACACCUGGGAUUCUGUUCAUUCAGCACUACAGAAUGCCUCUAAACAUACUAAAGUACAAACUGACAAAAAACGGGUUGCCACUCCUGUCUAUCAAGUGGGGGACAGGGUUUGGUUGUCCACACGUCAUAUCAAACUCAAGGUUCCUUCCAUGAAACUAGCUCCUCGAUUCAUAGGUCCCUUUCGUGUCCUCUGUCGUAUAAAUCCUGUGAGUUAUUCAUUGGCACUCCCUGCUCAUAUGAGAAUUGCCAAUUCCUUCCAUGUAUCAUUGCUUAAGCCCCUCACUUGCAAUCGAUACACAAAAAAUGGUUGUUCCUCCUCCGCCCUUGGUAGUAGGUGAUCAAGAAGAGUACGAAAUCCGAUCUAUUUUAGACUCCAAGUUUGCUAGAGGUGUUCUGUCUUGACUGGAAGGGAUAUGGCCUGGAGGAACCUAGUUGGGUUCUUGCUGACCAGGUCCAUGCUCCCCAUGCUCUUGUCCGGUCGUUUCACAACCAUUUUCCUCACAAGCCGGCUCCUUCCCGCCCGGUGAGCGUUCUUCGAGUGGGGGGUACUGUCACGGCCCCCGGCUCGCCGUCAUGUGCGUCCGCACCAACUCACUGAGCUUACCUGCUCAGCGGCGAGCCAGGAACCGCUCCUCCAUGCCACUCCGGGAAAUCAAAGAUGGCGCCGACCAUGCGGUCGCGUCCAUCCAUGGCUCCACCCCCCAAAAUUAUACGAAUGUGCGCGUGACAUCACGUGCACGUUCUGGGGUCAGAGGUCACCCUCUGACCAAUCAGAGCCUAGGGAGGGAUAUUUAAAUCCCUAAUUCACCCCAGUACCUUGCCCUGUCGUGGUUUCCGUUUCCUGGUUUCCUGAGAGUGCGUUUUUCCCUGUGAUAUUGAUAUUCUGGUAUUCUGAUCUUGGCUAUUCCUGGUUAUUCCGAUUUCUGGUUCCCCUGACUUGGCUUGUUUAAACGGUAUUGUGUAUUUCUGGCUUCCUUGACCUCGGCUUUCCCUUUGACCAUUCUCUGUCUCUAAUGUAUUAGUCCGGCCAUUCUAAGGUCCGGUUUACGUUCUGUCCUUUUAUUUCCUUUCUUAUUUCUAUGUAUAGGUUUACAUAGUUUCUGCAUGUUGGACCACACUAACAGUCGUGACAGCAAUAAGGAUAUGGAAUUCUUUGCCUGAAGAGGUGGUUUUGUCAGAGUCUAUACAGAUGUUUGUACUGCAAUUGGAUAAAUACUUACAAAAACAAAAUAUACAGGGAUAUAAUUUCUAAUUAGUGGGGGAAUAGCUGCUUGAUCCAAGGAGACAUCUGACUGCUAUUUUGGGGUCAAGAAAGAAUUUUUUCCUAGUUUGUUGCAAAAUUGGAAGCGCUUCAGACUGGUUUUUUUUGCCUUCUUUUGGAUCAACAGCAAAAACAUAUGUGAGGAAGGUUGAACUUGAUGGACGCAAGUCUCUUUUCAGCUAUGUAACUAUAACUAUGUAAUAGAGUCCUAACCUCAACAUCUGAGGAAAGGGAUUUAGGGGUGAUUAUUUCUGAUGCCUUAAAGGUUGGCAGACAAUGUAAUAGAGCAGCAGGAAAUGCUAGCAGAAUGCUUGGUUGUAUAGGGAGAGGUAUUAGCAGUAGAAAGAAGGAAGUGCUCAUGCCAUUGUACAGAACACUGGUGAGGAGUAUUGUACGCAGUACUGGAGACCGUAUUUCCAGAAGUAUAUUGAUACUUUAGAGAGAGUUCAGAGAAGGGCUACUAAACUGGUUCAUGGAUUGCAGGAUAAACCUUACAAGGAAAGGUUAAAGGAACUUAACAUGUAUAGCUUGGAUGAAAGACUAGACAGGGGGAUAUGAUAGAAACAUUUAAAUACAUAAAAGGAAUCAACACAGUAAAGGAGGAGACUAUAUUUAAAAGAAGAAAAACUACCACAACAAGAGGACCUAGUCUUAAAUUAGAGGGGCAAACGUUUAAAAAUAAUAUCAGGAAGUAUUACUUUACUGAGAGGGUAGUGAAUGCAUGGAAUACCCUUCCGGUAGAGGUUAAUACAGUAAAGGAGUUUAAGUAUGUGUGAGAUAGGCAUAAGGCUAUCCUAACUAUAAUAUAAGUACAUACAUAGUCUAAUGAAAGUAUUUAGAAAAUUGGGUAGACUAGAUGGGCCGAAUGGCUCUUAUCUGCCGUCACAUUGUAUGUUUCUAUGUUUUGUUUUAUGCCAUCUCCCAUGCAAGGGGUUUCACAGGCAGAAAAUGCAAGGGUUUUAAUCCCAGAAUCCGUUGUGCCCGAGAUAUAAUAACUUAAGUGGUUGGUGUUAACAUUCUAAUGGGGUACAGGGGUGGUCCUUGUUUGGGAGAUGAAUAAUUUUCGUUCGCAUGAAGUCUCCCGAAUGGCCAAGGGAGAACAACACGAAAUAAGCUGCAAAACACAUGAAAUAACAAGGGGGGAAGAUAUGGAGAGCCAAUAUAGGAAAUUGUUGUGGAAAUAAAAUAUGAAUAUAUACACAUAUAACUUUGUAGUUAGUAAAAUGUCUAUUUACCCAUUGCACUGAAAUCAGUAGAUAAGCUAUUCAUGCAUAUUUAGACAAAAUGGCUGCUAGAAGUUUCUAACCCCUCCCUCCUUAUAACCUCGACUAACUACCUUGUGUAACAAGAUGGCGCUGAGAUCUGGGGGAGACCCUCAUGGUCUCAGUGACAUCACCUCUAGUAGGCAGAGCACUAAGAUAACUACUUAACACCUAACCAAUUGAUACCGUAUUAUUCCAUGUUAUCUCUGACAAUGCUUAUGAUGUAAUUUUGCUUUAAAAGGGACUUGCCGUCCCCUCUGAAUAAACAUUCCUCAAGUUAUUCAACUACCUGAAACUUGUGUCUGGUGUGAAUUACUUCAGGGAGCGUGCACGCACUGUUUCAUUAAUUUGGUCAGGGGCAGAUACACAAAGAAUAAUCAAUCGAUUUGAGUUGAUUUCCACUUCAAUUGGCGCCCAACGUGGGGCACCGGAUUUGCCGGCUCGGAGGGCCGGAAAGCAAAGGACCGGAGCAGACCUCCGGAAAGUGGGACACCCGGAGCCUGAUCACCUCCACCAUACAGCCGUUGUCUGUAUACUCCUGUUUUGUGUCGGUCUGUCUCCGCGUCCUUCCGGCAUUCAGAAGGCUACUAGACAGGUAAUAUCUUAUCCGGUGCUCUUUUUAACGGACCUUUCGAUUGUCUAUCUGCCUCCUGAGUGCUCAUGUGUGUGUGAGUGACGGCCGGUGUAUGUGUUUCUUUUAAAUUUUUUUAGCUUGACUGCCUAGCGGGCAGGGAACGCGACAGCCGGUAAAGGGCUGGGGACCACCCUUGUAGAGGGUUGGGGAAUUGUGACAGCGCUGGGGACCACCCGUGAAAUCGGGUUGGGGAAUUUUUUGACAGCCUGGAAUAAGGGGCUGGGAAUGUUAUUUGAUUUAUAUUGCAUUGUUUGAUUAUGUACAUGGCCAUAUUGCUCUCUGUUAUUUUGUGGAUUUUGUUCAAUUGUUGCUACAGUGUGGGUACCCUUGGUGUUUGUGUGUGUGUUGUAUGGUUUGUUCUUGACUCCGGAGUGUACACUCAUUUUUAUAUUUGUGAUUUUUGCAAAUGUCUAGUACUUAGUGUUGCUACCUUCACCUUCUCCCUCAUUCUGUAUCUGUCCUGUCUUUGUUGCCCAGAGCUGUGUUAGUCACCCACACUCACACCCUCCGGUCUGUGGCCACCAUCCCCGGGUGUACAGACCAUCGUGACUAGUCUACGUUUUGGGAAGACGCACGGGUCCUCCGUGGCAGUCGAUCACUGUAGACUUUCUUACUUUUUCUUCCCUCUCACUCGCUCCCCUCUACUUGGUAGACCACGCUUGGUCAAGAUGGGGCAGUAACAUGCUAGACCAGCUAAGGGACUGCUAGCUUGUGAUAUUGUGAAGGAGAGAGCAGGGGAGGAUGCAGUGUUAAAGAUCAAGAAAAUUUCUAAGGUUUGUGGUUUCCAGUUGCCACCUGGUGGUAGCUUGCAGCCUGAGUUUUGGAGGAAGUUGCUUGUGGAUAAGGAGGGGUUAUUGUCUGAUAAUGGGUUAACCAAAGCAGUGGAGGCUUGGUAUCGAGUAGCUAGGGGAUUAAAUCGGGAGGGUUGGAUGGAGGAAGAGCUUGAGUUUGAGGGACAAACGCUGUAUGUGUAUCAUCGAAAUGUUUUGUGAUUCGAAUGUUUCUCCUGACCAUCCCCGGCCACCGCCCUAUGAUGGCACCCAGACCAUGCUGAGCAGCACCCGCCCAUCCUCCCCAAUCCAUACACAGACGUCACCUCCUGGUGGCGUCACACAUGGUCCCACCCCUUUGUGUCCCGUGCUUGGAGCUGAUGGUACCUAUUACUACCCAUUGCCAUCGCAUCCUUUUCCCCAUGCCCCUUUGGCACGACCGUUCUCUUCCCCAGAUCCGAUCCCUCCCCAGAGCCUAAUGUUAGUCCCGCCCCUGCCCAGUUACCAAACCCAAUCCCAGCCUCUGUUACCUCCCUGAUCACCACCCCGCCCCCAGACGCCUCCCACUCCUUUUGCCCCGCCUUCUGUCUUUCCCGCGUCAGACCACGAUCCCGCCCCACAGCUCCCCGACCCCCGUCACUUCCGACACUCCCCUGGACCUGGCCCCUACAGUAACCCCUUCCGCUUCCCUCCCUAACCCUGUUACUAAUGCUUCCGGUUCCCCUAACAACCUAGUGUCUUCCAUCCUCACAGCCCUUUCCGCUGUCCUCGAGCCUCCUCCUCCUCUUCCUCCUCCUCCCCCUCCCUCACUUCCUGAAUCCUCCCCUAUUGUGGACCCACCUUCUCUUCCGGCUUCUCUCCGUACUGAGCUGUCUCCCCUCCUCUCCGCCCUCUCUACGUUGAUCCAGUCACCCUCCCAGUCGCAUGUCACCCCCUCUGACCCGGCCCCUACACCCACCCAGAUAACUUCUAACCCAAGCCCCGCCUUUCCCCUCAUGGUGGUUGGUUCUGAGGAACCUGCUACGUCAGCCAAACCCCAUGCCGUGGGCGUUUCUCCCACGACCUCAGGUUACCACCCCACAACGUCACAGCUGGGCAGUUCCCACAACGUGUCGCUUGCUCCUCAGACUCCCAUUACCCCGGCUGUUCCCGGCCCGAUUUCCCUGGGCGCCGCGUCACACCAGGACGACCAUGUCGCUCCAUGUGACGAUGACCCUGAUGGAAAUGGCCUAUCUCCACCCCUGGGUAACAGGUCCCUGACACAACCUGCAACACGGAUGCACCUCCAUGUCCCCGCUUCUGCUACUGGGGCCCCUCCCAUGUAUGUCACUUUUAACCCCUCACAGGCCGCCACCCUUGUCACCUCUCUUCCUGAUCCUGAGAAACAACCCAUGCCCUUUUACCGCAGAAUGGCUCAAAUUCGUAAAACAUACUCCGCAGCUUGGCGGGAUCUUUAUAGUUUAUGUGAAAUCAAAGCAGGUGAUGCCUAUUGGCCUAUUAUGGAGAGAAGUUUUACCGAUGCUUCACUUACCACAGUUGCUAAAGGGUUAGAGUCAGUGGUGCAACCUACACAGAGAAGGUCUAACCCAGUGAUGUUUAAUGCUCCCACUGUAGCCCCAGGGUCAGUGCCAGCAGUCUCCGGUUUCCAUACAUUCCCAACUGCGCCAACCCUUAACCGUGCUCAAUUCCCUACUGCCAGAACUUGUUAUAAUUGUCACCAACCUGGCCAUUUCCGCAGGGAUUGCCCGCUCCCUAGAUACGGUAGACCAUCGCCUCCUCGAUACCCCGGUCCUCCCUCUCCUGCCCAUGGUUACCCCAUACCUGGUUACUCUAGGUACCCCUCACCUCCCCCAGCCCCCUAUUUUCCUCCUCCUGAGUAUUCCCGAGUUCCCCCACUGCCCGCUGAGACCAGCCCCUGAUAUGGAGGAGACCCACCAGAGAUCAACCCCUGUUAGGCCCACGCCUCCAUCAACCUCUGCACGCCGUUAUACCGGCCCAGAUCAGUCCCAUUUAGACUUGUUGCAAUAGGUAAUCGGCAAGCCUGUGUCAGACGUCCCUGUUAUGGCAGUGUCUUCAGGGGAUGAGGGAGGGCCCCUAGCUACUGUAGUUCUUCCCGUUGAGGGUCACCCCACUACUUUCUUAGUUGACACAGGUGCAGCCCGUAGUGUUCUCAGAGAACAAGACCUGCCUGAUCCCUCCUUUUUGUCUGACAUCGAUGUCUCUUGCGUUGGUGUUGAUGGUACUCCCCGCAGUAACCCCCUCACUAAGCUCCUCCGUGUGGGUUCUGACAUUCUGUCCCGAUUUGUUGUUUCUUCUACCUGCCCCAUUAACCUCUUGGGUGCUGAUGUUCUGUCCCCUCUCCAAGCAUCUAUUACCUUUACUGCAGAUGGCCAAGUUCAGCUAAACACACCUUUAUCACGAAAGGAUACUUCAGCACUUUGCUCCCUCCCAUUACUGUUACACUUAGAAUCUCCUGCAGGGGAAGCAAGGGUCCCUCAUGCCCCCAGUGCUCUGGACAGGAUCCCCAUCAAGCUCUGGUCUACUGGCCAUGAUGAUAUUGGCCGCCUCAAAGUUCCUCCUGUUGUGGUCUCGCUCUUGCCCGGAGUUACCCCUCCCAGAAGGCCCCAGUACCCCCUGAAACCUGCUCAAGACUCCGCCAUCUCCAAACAAGUGGAAAGCCUCCUAGCCAAAGGGGCCCUUGUCAAAUGUGCAUCACCAUGCAAUACUCCUUUGUUUCAUGUCAAGAAAAAGACUGAAAAGGGUCAGCCUGACCAGUACCAAAUGGUUCAAGACCUACGUGCUGUUAAUGAUGUUACUGUCAAAGAUUCAGCUGUUGUUCCAAACCCCCACACAUUACUGUCACAGGUUCCACCCUCUGCCACAGUUUUCACAGUUGUGGACCUUGCUAAUGCCUUUUUCAGUGUUCCUUUGGACCCAGCUUGCCAAUAUCUUUUUGCUUUCACACAUGAGGGCCAACAAUAUACUUGGACUGUUAUGCCCCAAGGUGCUCAGAAUUCACCUACCCAGUUUGCCCAUGCUAUGUCACUAGUCCUGGAACCCUGGCAAAAGACACACACUGAUGUGGUGUUGCUCCAAUAUGUUGAUGAUCUCCAAACUGCUGAACGAGUCUCAGAAGAUCUCCUCUGUUUCCUCGCUGAGGCAGGCUGCAAGGCCUCGAAAUCUAAACUCCAAUGGUGCCGGCCCUCAGUGGUCUUCUUGGGACAUUGCCUUUCCCAUGGCACCCGUCACCUUACAAAGGAUAGGAUCCUAGCUAUCCUGAACUUACCUAUCCCUUCUACACACCAAGCUCUUCAUGCUUUUUUGGGCCUGAUUACUUAUUGCAGAUCCUGGAUUCCUGACGCCUCUCAGCUCAUGCAGCCACUGUAUGAUGUCUUGAAACAUGAUCCUUUCUCACUAUCACCACAUGCACUUGACUGUUUCACUUCCCUGAAGAAGGCUAUUGCCUCCACCCCUGCCCUGGGUCUGCCAAACUACCAGUUGCCCUUUAAACUGUUUGUGUCUGAAAGACUGGGCCACGCUUCCGGGGUUCUCACUCAGCAACAUGGCUCCAGACAAAGACCUAUUGGCUACUUUUCCUGCAUGCUUGAUCACGUUGCCAGAGGCAGCCCUUCUUGUCUCCGAGCAGUAUUUGCUGCCAGUGCACUCCUGGACAAGACUAAUGCCUUUGUUCUUGGGCAUUCCCUCACCGUACUGGCUCCACAUGAUAUUUCUGCAAUUCUCCAACAAACACAACCUCGACAUCUCUCCUCUCAACGUCAUUUGAGACUGCAAACCUCGUUGUUGCUACCAGACAAUGUUACUCUACAACGCUGCUAUUUGCUGAACCCUGCCACUCUUCUGCCACUUCCCAAGGGGGGAGUGGCACAACACUGGUACAGCUUGGACAUCAACGCAGAUGCUCGAAUGGAGUUCCAGCUACCCACUUUUACAAUUCCUCAUGAUCAACAAUCAGAAAAUAUGUUACAUUGCACCUUAUGGUUUAAAGACACUCCAGGCCCCGAUGUGGAUUAUGAAGAAGAACUAUUCCAACAGAUUGAAAUUCACAUCACAUUGACAGACCUGUUGUGGGACUCUAGAUGCAACAUGCUCCUAUUGGUACAUCUUCCAGCAAGGAUGUCUCAUUUCUACCGCCAUUGGGAAACGGCUGUUCCCCAUAUUUCUCUCACCAAGUCCCCUGACAACCUAUGGCAAGAUCUUGGCCCAAUGGCCAAAUCCUGGAGCACUAUGACCCAAGAACAACUUGAUUCAUCAGGAAUCACUAAAAGAAUCAUCAAUUGUAAUACAACAGGGUUUCCUCGACAUCGCACAGAAAUCUGUGAAGACCCCCCGCCUAUGGAACAGGAUCCAGAGGCCCCUCAUGAUUGCUUCGAACAAAUGAAGAUGGAAACUACCCAUUUACCAACCGUACAUGAAGUAGCCCUACCAAAUCCAGACCAGACAUUGUUUGUAGACGGUUCUAGAUUUGCUGAUGAACAAAGGCAGUAUCACACUGGAUAUGCAGUUACCACAGAAUGCCAAAUAUUGCAAGCAGCCGCACUUCCAUUAACCGAGUCAGCACAAGAAGCUGAAUUGAUAGCUCUCACAGUGGCCUGCAAAUUAUCCGAGGGCCUCCGUGUUAAUGUCUAUACGGAUUCAAGAUAUGCUUUGGGAGUGGCACAUGACUUUGGCCUAAUUUGGAAAACCCGGGGAUUCCUCACAGCUGCUGGGACCCCAGUGAAACAUGGCCUAGCCAUCAAAGAACUAAUGGACGCCUUGAUACUACCAGCGGAGGUAGCAGUGCUUAAAGUAAAGGCCCAUGGAAGACUGAUCUCAGAAGAAGCACGAGGCAAUCAUCUAGCAGACCAAGCUGCCAAGGAUGCAGCACGACAAGGGUGGGAAGUGGGCAGAAGAGUGGCUACUGAAAGAAUACCUGUCUAUACUAUGCAAACACUGCCUACAGAUCUCAACCUUCUGAAGGAACAGCAAGCCGCUGCAACUCCCCAGGAAAAGCAGAGUUGGAAGAGCAGGGGAGUCAUCCUUCAGGAUGAUGUUUACACCCUUAAUCUUAAAUUUUGUCUACCCAAAAAAUGUACCCAGCGGUUGUCCAAUGGGCUCAUGGACCAGCUCACCUGUCAAAGCACCUGAUGAACUCUCUGAUAAAUAUUUUGAAGCACCAGGUAUCACUACCUUGACACAGAAUUAUUGUAAGUCCUGUGCAAUCUGUGCCAAAUGCAACCCUGGAAAGAUUGUCAAGACUGCACGCAACCACUUGGCCAAACCACAAUAUCCCUUCCAGAGAAUACAGAUUGACCACAUCCAGAUGCCAAAGAGUGGGCACUACGAAUAUGCACUAGUUAUUGUGGACAUGUUCUCAGGAUGGCCGGAAGCUUUUCCAGUGGCUAAUCUUACCGCCAGAACAACAGCCAAACAUCUUCUAACAGAAAUUGUCUGCAGAUACGGCGUUCCAGAAGUAAUUGAAAGCGAUCAAGGAACCUCUUUUACUGCCUCAUUAACUCGGGAAGUCUGGACAGCACUGGGGGUGACCCUUGCCUUCCACACACCAUAUCAUCCACAGAGUAGUGGUAAGGUAGAACGCAUGAAUGGCACAUUAAAGGCCAGAAUGCUCAAGAUGUCUCAGGAAACUAACAUGCCCUGGCCCGAGAGUCUCCCGUUAGCACUAUUCAGUGUGAGGUAUACCCCUAGGGGGAAAUGUAAUUUAUCUCCCUAUGAGAUCCUGUUUGGCACUGCACCCAGAUUAGGUUGCUAUUUCCCCCAGCAGCUUCAGAUACAGUCAGAUGCUAUGGUAGAUUAUGUUACUGCUCUUUCUCGUGCCUUGACCAAAAUCCAUGCCCAAGUGUUUUCUUCUAUUCCAGAUCCUGAGUCGAAUACAGGUACACACAAGUUGCUUCCUGGUGACUGGGUUAUGGUCAAGAAAUUUCUCAGAAAGCACACUCUUGAGCCGAGAUUUGAUGGUCCCUACCAAGUGUUUUUAAUUACAGCUACCUCUGUCAAAUUGGCUGGGAAGAGUUCCUGGAUACACGCCUCACACUGCAAGAAAGUGCCUGCUCCAGGAGAAACCACCCUCUCUGAAUCAUGAAUUUGUUGUGUUUCUUUAUGCUGCUAAAACUUGCAUGGGCCCAACAGGUGGCCAUAACCAAAGAUAACAAUGUUUACACUUUCUGGUACAAUUCUUCAUGUACAGAUGUAGCCACAUUCACCUUCGAUUAUUGUGAUAUUGUUACUUGCACCUUCCCACAAACACAGUAUGCAUCCAUAUUCAAUGUCUGUGGGAGUGCACACUAAUACAAUCAUUUUGGACUGAGGUGAAAACAUAUCUUACGAACAGGAACAUGCCCACACUACUAUUGACCCUGGAGGGGAGGGGGAGGUACAUACACAAGGACAUUCUACUUACAAGAUAUGUUUAACUCAUCUGACUGGGUAGGCACCACACAUAUGACUAUCAAUCCACUCAAACCGCACAUUAAAACUUUACAUGAUAUGGUUGCUAUCGCUAACCCUACCUUUGAGGACACCAUGGCAGUCGAGACAGGGUUUUCAGAUACUAAUUUAUGGUUGGAAUGGAUGAAAUACAAUGCUAAUUCACAUAAUAAGACUAACUGUUAUGUGUGCGGGGGAGCUAGGCCUCACCUGGGUACAGUACCUUUAAAUCUACCUCUCAAAGUUGAGACAUGUGUUUUGAGUCUUUAUGCACAAUCCACUACAAACUCUUCCAUGUGUGAGUCAUGGAAAAAGGUCUAUCCUGUUGUUCAAGGACAUGUUAAGCCACCUGAUGGGGUCACCGUGUAUCCAGGUAAUUACACUUGUUAGUCAAUAUCUAAGAACACAGGGUCGUAUAUGGGAAAAUUUCCAUCGGGUUAUUGCUCCGCCUAUCACACCCCACCCGUAGCAUUAUUAAUGAACCAUGUAAAGACAGUUGGAGACAUAUACUGGCUGUGUGGCGAUAAGCAAUUAAGAUCCCAGCUAGUGGGACUGUGGUGGGGUGAAUGUACACUAACAAAAGCCAUAAUGCCCAUUCACGUUAUCCCUGAUGGCUAUCAUGAUGAGUCAGACCACACACAUACAAGCCAUAGAACUAAAAGGGAGGCCCCAAUCCGUGGUAGUUUCGACCCACAUGUUUACAUAGAUGCCAUAGGUGUGCCAAGGGGGGUGCCUAAUGAAUUUAAAGCAAGAGAUGAAGUAACAGCUGGGUUUUAAUCCUUAAUUCCAAUGAUCACAGCCAACAAGAAUGUCAAUUGGAUUAACUAUAUCUAUUACAAUCAACAGCGAUUUGUUAAUUACACCAGGGAUGCCCUACAGGACCUGGCAGAGCAAUUGCAAGCCACCACACAAAUGACAUUCCAAAAUAGAAUGGCCCUGGACAUGAUAUUAGCAGAAAAGGGGGGUGUCUGCAAAAUUCUCCCCGAAACCAUGACAUGUUGCACAUUCAUUCCAGACAAUACUGGGCCCAAUGGCUAUAGAGAAACUGGAUAGUCUCUCAGAUGAAUUAAAGAAGAAUUCAGGAGUCAUGGAUACUUGGGACAGGUGGUUUGGAUGGAUGAAUGGUUGGCAGAGAACUUUAUUUCAGGUUGGAACUGCAGUCCUUAUAGUACUUAUUUUCUUCCUGUUCUUAAUCUGUUGUGUGUUCCCUUGCAUACAAAGGUACCUACAGAAAGCAGUGGGUAAGACUAUAGAUGACGCAACUCCUACCUUUCUACAUCAGGAUGUUACGGAACUAGACUAUGACGCACCACACACACCCCUUUAACCUCACCAAUUCAAACAGGCAACUGCACUCCUAUAGGGAUAGCACAGGGAAAGCGUCUGUCUCUACGGGCAAGUCUCACGUGUGGAGAUGUGGUGGACUAGCCGCUGCGGGUUACCCACGGAGUGAAGAGUUUGAUGCUCGUUAAGACAGAUGAGCUGCAGGCAGCUAGGGAUGAGUAAGGGACAGUUGCAGUUGUUAUGGUAAAUAGCCAUUUUAAGGGGGGACUGUUGUGGAAAUAAAAUAUGAAUAUAUACACAUAUAACUUUGUAGUUAGUAAAAUGUCUAUUUACCCAUUGCACUGAAAUCAGUAGAUAAGCUAUUCACGCAUAUUUAGACAAAAUGGCUGCUAGAAGUUUCUAACCCCUCCCUCCUUAUAACCUCGACUAACUACCUCGUGUAACAAGAUGGCGCUGAGAUCUGGGGGAGACCCUCAUGGUCUCAGUGACAUCACCUCUAGUAGGCAGAGCACUAAGAUAACUACUUAACACCUAACCAAUUGAUACCGUAUUAUUCCAUGUUAUCUCUGACAAUGCUUAUGAUGUAAUUUUGCUUUAAAAGGGACUUGCCGUCCCCUCUGAAUAAACAUUCCUCAAGUUAUUCAACUACCUGAAACUUGUGUCUGGUGUGAAUUACUUCAGGGAGCGUGCACGCACUGUUUCAUUAAUUUGGUCAGGGGCAGAUACACAAAGAAUAAUCAAUCGAUUUGAGUUGAUUUCCACUUCAGAAAUGAAAAGCAACUCGCACAUGCCCAUUCCACUACAGCAGGUAUUCUUAGUAUGAACCAGGAGCAGAAGUCUUUUCAGGAACAGAACACAAACUUCUUUCAAUGUAAAGACAACUCCUUUAGUUGGGUGUGGCCUUUUAUAGCACAUCCAGAAGAUCAGUUUAGGCAGGUGUGAGAGACUGUGCUUUGACUAGUGGCUAGGGAGGCCACUAGUGGUGAAAACUGGUAUUGAAGAAAAUAAACAUUAUUUGAGUUGUCAGGAUAGGAUCCUGACAGGCUUAACACUGACUUUCUUAAAACUGGUGUAGCAACAUGAGAGAUAACCUAUAAUGAUUCAAAGGGACUGAGCUUUUUACACACUUGCCACUCCUACAUACCUAAAACCACUACAUGCCCAGGCAUCACUUUGACAAGUUGGUCCCAGUGUGACGUCUAAAGAUAUAACGCUACUAAUAAUCAACAACUGCCUCUCGCUUCGAUUUCUGAUCACAUAGUCUCAAACAACAACAGAAUUGGCCCUGGAUGAUGAAAAGACAACACAGAAACUAGCCGCCUCAGACACCUCGUUUAAAAUCCAGGCUGUUUUUUAAACUGCUUUCCUCUUUAACCCCUUUUUCUCCUACAAUCCUUUAACUUUACUCCGCUUCUCCUUUCCGAGUAACAUUGCACAGAUCACUCACAUGUUUACACAUAACUGACAACAGUGCUCAUCCAUUUCUUGGUACAUGAAUUCCGAAUUUUACUUACCGAACCUCCAGGUCCACACUUUUCCAUCUACUGCCACACAACCUCACACCAUCCACCAUAUCUCAACUCGCCACACACUUACCUUCUCCUCCGACCUAAUCUUUUCCCAAGCAACUUACAAAUCCUCAAAGAAUCCCACAUACCAAGACAACAAAGAUCUUGAUAUUCAAGGAUUACUCUACUCAAGUCACCCAGAGACGUUCACUCCCACAUGUUCAGUGCUAUAUAGAAAAAGCAUACAGUUUGCCCUUCUCUACUCAAUUACACUUAGUCUACAAAUUGGCAAUCGCACCCUUUCCACUUCGUCGGUGGCUGAAGCAUCAAAAUUCCUACAAGAUGUCAUCCCAGGUUGGGAUAAGGACUCAUCCAGUCUGCCUGCCCACCCCGUGCCUUAUCAUGAGGGGCUACAUUAACAUCACCAUCCUAACACCACCACAAACCUUUUGGUUUCAACCAUUGUACAUAAGUUGUUCAUGCCGGUAUUGUUAGCUGCCCUAUCCGCCUCCACACCAGGACUUACCCAUCUGCUCGAGCUGGGACAAACAGAUUCCCACAACUACACAUCAACAUGUCUACAACUAUGCACCACGCUGAGGAGCCAGCUAAACAAAAAUGUCUCAAUCAACUCAUAAAACUUUGCUUCUACUCUCAAGUUCCUAUCCUGGAAUGUAAAUGGGGCAAACACACCCAUCAAACGAAAGAAGAUACUCACCUACCUCAAUAAACAACAAGCCCAAAUCACACUACUGCAAGUAACUCAUUGGUUCCAAAGCUACUCAACUCAAGGCCCCCUGGAUCCAGGUCUGUAUUGCGGCUAAAUAUAAUUCAAAAACCAGAGGGGUGGUUUGCAAUAUGUUAUUCAUAGUUUUGACCCCGAAGGCCGCUUUAUCUUCCUAUGUCUUACCAUCGAUGCUACUCCAAAUGCAUAUGCUAAACCCUUUUUCAUCAAACUACUAACCCUACUUGCUCAAAUCUACAUUGACCAAAUAAUAAUUGGGGGCGAUUUUAAUGCUGUUCUUGACCUUCUUCUAGACAGAUCCUUACUGGGUACCUUGUCUCCCACAGACAGUGACCACGGCCUCCAUGCCUGACCACCUCCUGUAAUUUACAUGACCCAUGGAGAAUACUACACGGCACGGAGAGGGACUACACAUUUCAUUCCCUAGUACACGACUCUGUAUGUAGGAUUGACAGGUUUUUAGUCACCUCAGCAGCACUGCCCCAUGUAAUCAACGCUACAAUAGAAACAAUAGUGGUCUCAGACCAUGCGCCUAUCACUUUAACAAUGCAUAAUGCAAAAUCACGCCCAUUCACUGUACAUUGGCAUUUACCAGUAUAUUUUCCUAAUAAGCCAACUUUCCAAAGUAAUCUCCAGGCCAGUUGGGCUAACUUUAUUGAUGACCCCAAACUACUUUGGGAAACGUCCAAAGCGGUCUUGAGGGGACAAAUAAUCUUAUUUGUUGCAUCAGCUAAAGAGACAUGGAAACGAGAUUUUACCUCCUUAAAAAAUGUUCUCAAACAUGCACACAGACAAUACAUGACUGAUCCCACCAAUGACCACAAACAACUAUACAGCUCAAAAUAACCUUAACACAUUUGUCGCAAACUAUGCACAAUCGAAAUUAGACUUUCAACAACAACACUUCUUUAGGUAAAGUGGAAGAUCUGGGAAGCUCCUGGCCCACCUGGCUAAUCCUAGGACAAAAUUAAAACCUAUUACUGCUAUCACCUCAUCGGAUGGCACUAGAUGCACGUCUCAUGAAUUAAUUAAUAAAGGGUUUUAUGAUUACCAUAGAAAUUUAGCAAAGGCCCCGCCGGACAAUCAUGCCCAGAGCAUGGAUUAUAUUAAAAGCCUAGCCCUCCCCUAACUUGAUGAGGAUGCCAGGGAGCUCCUCAGUGAAUCUAUCACAGAGGAGGAAAUACACAGGGCCAUUGGCAUAACUUACCCUUAUCCUAUGUAGGAAGGGCAAAUCUAUACAUAUUAAUUAGCUUUCCCAAACUACUCUAUCCACUUCAAGUCCUCCCCUUGCUACUCUCGAAACAGGAUGAAAUUCUACUAAAUAAGAAGCUUAGACGAUUUUUAUGGCAGGGACACAAACCACGCCUUAGCCUUACAAUAUCAAUACACCAAGGAGGACUAAACUUGCCAAAUGCUAAGGAAUAUAUCCUAACAGCACAACUUAGACAUGCACUGGAUUGGAUCCAAUCCUAGCAUAGGUUUUUGGAGUUGUUGUUGGAGUCCUUCCUGGCAGAGCCUCACUGCUGGCUCUCCUGUACAGGCCACACCAUCUCAUUCCAAAUAAAAUCCUCAUGUACCUGCUUAUACACACCCCAAUUAGGGCCUGGAAACCAGCUCGGUCUAAGAUGGGAGCUCACCCUUUAAAAUCACUGCACGUGCCUCUCACUCACAACACUUACUUUGCCCCGGGUACCGACUAUCCCUUCACAUUGUGGGCAAUCCUGCCUAUCAUCUCUUACAGAGACAUGUUUCUAAAGACCCUACACUAUGCCUAUUAUUCCCACACAGACUACAUCUAAUGGCUAGAAAAGACUCAGCGACCUGUUUCAAAUGCACACACAUAAGAGUCGACUAUCAAUGUCUGUGGGAGUGCACACUAAUACAAUCAUUUUGGACUGAGGUGAAAACAUAUCUUACGAACAGGAACAUGCCCACACUACUAUUGACCCUGGAGUUCUUGCUCUUGGGACCUAUCCCAGGUCAACCCCUAACUAAUAAAUGAUUUCUCCUCAUAAUCGCAGCUAUUAGACUAAUGGCCAUUCUCCAGGUCUGGAACCAGCCAAACGCUCCCACGUUACAAUUAUUUUUGUCUAAACUCAUAUUUAUUUUCAAAAUGGAUUGGUUGGCGACACUAACCAACAAAGAAAUCCUUGCCAGGAAAUUAUCCUGACCUGGAGAUCGUAUAUCCUUACUUUGGAUGACUCCUUUAAAACCAAACUGAGGAAUGCCCUAGAGUACACAGCGUGGUUCUCAGCAGAAGUGGUGGCUGGUAGAGACACUUUACAAAUGACAUCUCGUUAAGCAACACAGGGAGCUAAAAAGAGAAGCAUAUAUGGUUGAAUUGGGAGGUUUAGGGACUGAACCGGCACUGAGUUGAGUUAUUUUUAUUUUUGUUUAUAUACAUGUCCAGUCCACCACUUCCCAAAGUUGAAACAGACGACAUACAAAGUUAAUACUUUACCAUAUUGAUGGCCACUCUGUGUAACCUAUUCACACAUUACUAAACAACGAACCCUAACCAGACAUAACUACUUAUUAUACAGUCUGAUGUGACACAUUGUUGCAGACAGCGAUGAAGCGACAAUCAACUGAACAUUAACUAACCAAGAGAACUCAACGUAACUGUUGCCUCCACUUAGUUGUACAAAACUGUGAAUGUGGAUGAAAAUGAACUCACUGCUAUUUUCUCAUUUAUCUGGUCUACUCAUCACAUCUGAUAGGUGUAACUGCUUCUGGGGAAUGAAGAUGCAUAAAUAUCUGAUAGAAAUAGAUUUAUUGAAUGAGGAAAAUCCUAUAAAACAGAAAGAGAGGGUUCUCAUUGGUCAAGCCUCUUCCUGGUCUUGUAGGGUUUAUCUGUUGCUGUUGCUCUCCUGUGAGUUUAGUAGCUGCAGCAUGUGCUUUACAAGAAAUGCCAUUUAUUUUAAUGACUAAUGUUCUCACAGCUACUAAAAGACUUUUCUUCUAAUUAACACAUACACCCCAUGUUUCCAUCCGUACACACUACAUGAUGUGUUUGUAUUCUUUCCCAUCUCCAAAAUUAUCUCAAAAUGUAUAACACACCAAUUAUAAGUCACAAUAAACAUUCCAAGUUACGUUUCAGAUGACUGUAUCUGACGGAUGAGUUUUUAUUUCCUGAAAAUCACAAACCUUUCUGACACAAUUAUUCUAACGCAUGUAGGUUUAAAUCAAUAGUGUCACAGCAUGAGAGGAGAAACAGAACUCAAAUAUAUCUCCUGCAAUAUGAAAGAUGUAUGUAGCAAAUAGUAUGGAAACAAAACUAGAAUAAUAUGAUAUUUGUCAAAGCAUCUAACAUGAAUCAACUAACCUUAAAGGGACACUCCAGGCAUUUAAUUAAGUUGUUAAUGGUGCCAGGAGGCCCCUGGAGUCACUCUUAUAUUAGAGGCUAAACUAUUCUCUGGUGGCAUCUGGCUUCUGUAUUUUCAGCUUAAGGAAGCGCAAAGUGACACAGAUGAUCAGUGACUCAAAAUUCACUAAACUGGAUUGGAAAUGGUACAUUUCUUUCCUGAGGAAAGGCAUUGUUUACAUUACCCUCUAGGGACACCUCCAGUGGCUCUCACUCGGAAAGCAACUAGAGAAGCUUCCUGUUAUGCUCAGCAUGAAGACGCAGAACACUCCCCAUAGGUACAAUUCAUUACUGUAAGGAGAUGCUGAUUGGCACACAUGCACAGUAGCCCCCUUUAAUGCUUCUCUUUUUCAGGAAGGAACAAGUUUGUAAUUCCAAUGUCCUUUAAAGCAUACAAGUCUUCAUUUUGGUAAAAAGGGAAAUCUAUGAUCGUUCUUUUCAAGGUUCAAUAACCAACACGUUUCCUUACAGUUGCAGCAAUAAAGAAGAUAUUAAUACCUUUCCCUAUUCCCAUUUAUAUCAUUUUUUGUUGGGAAUGUAGGUAAAUACAAUGUAUAGCAUUUUUACACAUCUGACUUUUUUCACUGUAUGUGUCUCUUCUCAUUAUGUUAUCUGAGUCCUGAUAAGAAAAUCACAAGCUUAUUGCCUACUGUUAGAGUUGAGCGAACCCGAACUGUAAAGUUCGGGUUUGUACCAAACAUUAUGUUUUUUGGACCCCGGACCCGAACACGGACAUAUCACUGUAUGUUCGGUUUGGAGUUCGGUGUUCGUCGAUUUAAUGGCGCGUUUUCAAAGGCUGCAGGGCAGCCAAUCAACAAGCGUUUGACUCGUGUGCCCUUAGAAGCCAUCACAGCCAUGCCUACUAAUGGCAUGACUGUGAUUGGCCAGUGCAGCAUGUGACCCAGCCUCUAUCUAUAAGCUGGAGUUGCAUAGCGCCGCACGCACAUGAGGUCUUAAUAGUGUAGGGAGAGGAUGCUGCCGCUGAUAGGGACAGCUUAGGAAAGAAUUCUGCAAACUAGUACAUUAGUGGGGUGCACUCAUAUCUGAGAGUCAAAUAGAAUCGACAUUGCAGUUUUAAAACGUAAACAUUUUUGGGUGCUAAAAAGUACAUUAGUGGGGUGCACUUCAUAUCUGAGAGUCAAAUAGAAGGGUCUAAUAGUGUGCUUACAGUACAGUGGUAAACAUUCUUAUUUUCUGGGUGCUAAUCUGCUAAAUAGUACAUUUUGGGGCAUGCACUUCAUAUCUGAGAGUCAAAUAGAAGCGUCAAAUACUGCUGUCACAUUGCAUUGGGUGCUAAACUGCUAAAUAGUAUUUUAGUGGGAUGCACAUCAUAUCUGAGAAUCAAAUAGAAGGGUCUAAUAGUGUGCUUACAGCGCAGUGGUAAACAUUCUUAUUUUCUGGGUGCUAAUCUACUAAAUAGUACAUUUGCGGCCUGCGGUGCACUUCAUAUGUGAGAGUCAAAUAAAAGCAUCAAAUACUGCUGUCACAUUGCAGUUUUAAAACAUUAAAAUGUUUGGGUGCUAAACUGCUAAAUAGUAUUUUAGUGGGGUGCACUUCAUAUCUGAGAGUCAAAUAGAAGCGUCUAAUAGUGUGCUUACAGCGCACUUGUAAAAAUUCUAAUUUCCUGGGUGCUAAUCUGCUAAAUAGUACAUUUUGGGGCCUGUCUUCAUAUCUGAGAUUCAAAUCGAGGCAUCUAAUAAUGUGCUUACAGCGCAGUGGUAAACAUUCUUAUUUUCUGGGUACUAAUCUGCUAAAUAGUACAUUUGCCGACUGCACUUCAUAUCUGAGAGUCAAAUAGAAGCAUCUAAUAGUGUGCUUACAGCGCAGUGGUAAACAUUCUUAUUUUCUGGGUGCUAAUCUGCUAAAUAGUACAUUUGCGGCCUGCGGUGCACUUCAUAUGUGAGAGUCAAAUAGAAGCGUCAAGUAGUGCGCUUACUGCGCAGUUGUAAACAUUCUAAUUGUUUUGUUGCUAAUCUGCUGCUUACAUUGGAGUUUUAAAAAGUCCAUUUUUUUUUGGUGCUAAAUAAUAUAUUUGGGGUGUGCACUUCAUAUCUGAGAGUCAAAUGGAAGUGUCUAUUAGUGUGCUUACAGCGAAGUGGUAAACAUUCUUAUUUUCUGGGUGCUAAUCUGCUAAAUAGUACAUUUUGGGGCCUGCUCUUUAUAUCUACAAGUCAUGCUACAACAAAAUUAAACAUGUUUUAGAAUAUGUAUGGGCCAACCAGUGGCUGUAAAAACAAAGUUUUACUGGUUACAUUCAUGACUACACACUCCAGUGAACAGGACCUUCAUUUAGUGUGUUCUUUUUUUUAAAAUCAUACAGCAUCCUUUCAUGUGCUUUUCAGAUGUCAUAUUGUGAAUUACCAAUUUUUGUGUAGCCUGAUUUUUUUUUUUUUUUAAAGUGAAAAAUAAGUGUUAUUGUCAUUGUCAUUCAUAUACAGAAGCAUUAAUAUACAUUUCUAUAUUGUGUAAAGACACAAUUACAAAGUUAAAAACCAAACACCAAAACAACGUGCCAGACAAUCUACUUGUGCAUGGCUAGUGUGAUACAAUAAGUCUACAUCUUAAAAUUCAAUAACCCACAAAAGAUGGGCGAGAAUUUUUUUUGCAAAUGGAACUUUAAUUCGAAUUUACAUCGGUCACUUGUAAUAUUGUUUCACACCUACAACACUUGUUACACAGAUCUAAGUGAUAGAAAACAGAUUGAUAUUUUCUACACUAGAAACUACCAGAUAACAAGCUGCUAUAUUUAAACCAGUUAUCAAUAGUGUAACGGCUACCGAGGUAGUGAGAGGGUAUCAGCCGUCAGAGACGUCCUUUUUCACGGCAAGUCGCUGUGUAGUAGUGGAGUUGCUUAUUCCCAUUCACGAGAUCCAAGUGAAGAGUCCGUCAGAGCUAUUAAAAGAGCAAUGUAGUUAAGCUGUAAAUCCCCUUCCAAGAACGAGACAAGGCUACGUUUUGAAGGGUCAAGAAGAACUGAAUUUUAAUGGCAUGCAUUCUCCUUUUAUGUGAUGCUGCCCAUGCAAGGGAGACACCUACAUAAUUAACAUAGUAAUCAAUAACAGAUAAGGUACAACCCACACAUCUCCUCCCCUCAGAUAAACCUUUAACAUAAUUAACAAGGAUACAUUUUUAUCCUACUUUUGGUUGUACCCCAAAUAUGUGGGGUACAUUCAUAAAUCCACUAUCCCCAGAUAGCCCUGUUCUUGGGGAGCAACAUAUGUAAAAAUCAUCCCAUUCGGUUAACGAGCUCGGGAGUUAUGGAGCUUUAAAGUUUUGACCAACCGCAGAGGCACACUAGCCGAAAAUAGUUCCAUGAGUUUUGGCCUUGCGGUCGGUCCUCGUUCGUGCGUUAAAAAGUAAUGAAAAGCUUGCCAUCCGUGGGUAUCUUGAUGUUCGUCAGAAUCCCCAUAUGCUGCAUAGUCUUUCUACCGAACGGCAUGGCGGUCGGUAGUUUUGGCACAAAUUUACGGUGCUAUGGAGGUCUCAGCGGUGUUCGGCUACUCGAGUGUCCGAUUUUAGUUCCAGACACUCGACGGCAAAACACCGCUGUUCGGGAGUUAAGAUGGCCGCGAACACGUGUAAAAGUCCCGAAAUGGCGACCACCCAGGAACUUAAACAAAGCGUUCGUGCGUUUCCCAUAAAGAUUGGAUGUGCCGAUCAGGGAGGUAAAUUACCAAUUAAUUAGGUAGCAGGUUGGUCCGGUGUUCGGUAGUAUGCAUUCGUAUGAUGAAUGCUGGGUCUAUACCGUAUGGGUCUCACAAUUAAGCAAAUGUUUUAAAAUACACAAACUGUUUUAAAGAAGAAUCUCCACGAAAGCAGGUAAGCAUUUUCAAUUUAUAUCCAGUUUGGUAUCCUUUCACUGGAUAAACAAUAUAUCGUUAUAAUCCCAUGUCUCUGUACCUGUGUAGGUGCCUGGCUGGCUCUUAAAGGGCCGGUAAUAGCAGAUGUUCCCAGGCAUAGGGUAGUGUUUUGUUACAAAUAGCUAAGAGGUACUUAAACAAUAUUGUAGUUCUGGGGCAAUACCCUCACAAGUCAAACUGAGAGGUCAGUUUAUAGGGAAAACUAUUGCCUGGAUACAAUUCUAAAAUAAUUUCCAUAUUUCCUUUGCAGAUUUUACAUGCUGGAAAAACACAGGUGCCAACUGCUGUGGCUUUCUGCAGUGUGCAUACCGGCAAGGAGGGCCGGGUUGAGAAGUGGGUGGAAGAUGAUGUGGAGGAUGAUGAGGUCCUAGACCCCACAUGGAAUCAAGGUCAUGCGAGUGACGUGUGCAGUUUGGAGGAAGAGGC